AGCAGUCAUCAACAACUUCAACACCAUGGCUGAAUCGUUUUUGUUUAGCAUUGCAGAAAACGUUGUGGGGAAGAUCGGCUCUGUCGCUCUCCAAGAAAUUGGCUUAGCAUGGGGCGUCAAGACUGAACUGCAAAAGCUGGAAGCCACCUUAACCACUAUCAAAUCCGUCCUCCUGGAUGCUGAGGAGAAGCAGUGGAAUGAUCGACAGCUACGUGAUUGGUUGGGAAAGCUCAAGCAUGUGUGCUAUGAUGUGGAAGAUGUGCUCGAUGAAUUUCAGUACCAAGCUUUGCAGCGCCAAGUGGUGAGUCAUGGCAGCCUUAAAACAAAGGUACUUGGCUUCUUUUCAUCUUCAAAUCCGCUUCCAUUUAGCUUUAAAAUGGGCCAUAGGAUCAAGGAGGUGAGGGAGAGGUUGGAUGGCAUUGCAGCAGAUAGGGCUCAAUUCAAUCUACAGACUUGUAUGGAGAGGGCUCCUCUGGUGUACAGGGAGACCACCCACUUUGUGCUUGCUUCCGAUGUUAUCGGAAGAGAUAAGGAUAAAGAAAAAGUUUUAGAGCUUUUGAUGAAUUCAAGUGAUGAUGCUGAGAGUAUUUCAGUCAUUCCCAUAGUUGGUCUUGGAGGUCUUGGAAAGACUACUCUUGCUAAACUAGUGUAUAAUGAUCCGUGGGUAGUUGGGCAUUUUAAGAAAAGAAUAUGGGUUUGUGUCUCCAAUGACUUUGAUAUGAAAAUGGUGAUUAUAGAUAUUAUUAAUUCANNNNNNNNNNNNNNNNNNNNNNNNNNNNNNNNNNNNNNNNNNNNNNNNNNNNNNNNNNNNNNNNNNNNNNNNNNNNNNNNNNNNNNNNNNNNNNNNNNNNNNNNNNNNNNNNNNNNNNNNNNNNNNNNNNNNNNNNNNNNNNNNNNNNNNNNNNNNNNNNNNNNNNNNNNNNNNNNNNNNNNNNNNNNNNNNNNNNNNNNNNNNNNNNNNNNNNNNNNNNNNNNNNNNNNNNNNNNNNNNNNNNNNNNNNNNNNNNNNNNNNNNNNNNNNNNNNNNNNNNNNNNNNNNNNNNNNNNNNNNNNNNNNNNNNNNNNNNNNNNNNNNNNNNNNNNNNNNNNNNNNNNNNNNNNNNNNNNNNNNNNNNNNNNNNNNNNNNNNNNNNNNNNNNNNNNNNNNNNNNNNNNNNNNNNNNNNNNNNNNNNNNNNNNNNNNNNNNNNNNNNNNNNNNNNNNNNNNNNNNNNNNNNNNNNNNNNNNNNNNNNNNNNNNNNNNNNNNNNNNNNNNNNNNNNNNNNNNNNNNNNNNNNNNNNNNNNNNNNNNNNNNNNNNNNNNNNNNNNNNNNNNNNNNNNNNNNNNNNNNNNNNNNNNNNNNNNNNNNNNNNNNNNNNNNNNNNNNNNNNNNNNNNNNNNNNNNNNNNNNNNNNNNNNNNNNNNNNNNNNNNNNNNNNNNNNNNNNNNNNNNNNNNNNNNNNNNNNNNNNNNNNNNNNNNNNNNNNNNNNNNNNNNNNNNNNNNNNNNNNNNNNNNNNNNNNNNNNNNNNNNNNNNNNNNNNNNNNNNNNNNNNNNNNNNNNNNNNNNNNNNNNNNNNNNNNNNNNNNNNNNNNNNNNNNNNNNNNNNNNNNNNNNNNNNNNNNNNNNNNNNNNNNNNNNNNNNNNNNNNNNNNNNNNNNNNNNNNNNNNNNNNNNNNNNNNNNNNNNNNNNNNNNNNNNNNNNNNNNNNNNNNNNNNNNNNNNNNNNNNNNNNNNNNNNNNNNNNNNNNNNNNNNNNNNNNNNNNNNNNNNNNNNNNNNNNNNNNNNNNNNNNNNNNNNNNNNNNNNNNNNNNNNNNNNNNNNNNNNNNNNNNNNNNNNNNNNNNNNNNNNNNNNNNNNNNNNNNNNNNNNNNNNNNNNNNNNNNNNNNNNNNNNNNNNNNNNNNNNNNNNNNNNNNNNNNNNNNNNNNNNNNNNNNNNNNNNNNNNNNNNNNNNNNNNNNNNNNNNNNNNNNNNNNNNNNNNNNNNNNNNNNNNNNNNNNNNNNNNNNNNNNNNNNNNNNNNNNNNNNNNNNNNNNNNNNNNNNNNNNNNNNNNNNNNNNNNNNNNNNNNNNNNNNNNNNNNNNNNNNNNNNNNNNNNNNNNNNNNNNNNNNNNNNNNNNNNNNNNNNNNNNNNNNNNNNNNNNNNNNNNNNNNNNNNNNNNNNNNNNNNNNNNNNNNNNNNNNNNNNNNNNNNNNNNNNNNNNNNNNNNNNNNNNNNNNNNNNNNNNNNNNNNNNNNNNNNNNNNNNNNNNNNNNNNNNNNNNNNNNNNNNNNNNNNNNNNNNNNNNNNNNNNNNNNNNNNNNNNNNNNNNNNNNNNNNNNNNNNNNNNNNNNNNNNNNNNNNNNNNNNNNNNNNNNNNNNNNNNNNNNNNNNNNNNNNNNNNNNNNNNNNNNNNNNNNNNNNNNNNNNNNNNNNNNNNNNNNNNNNNNNNNNNNNNNNNNNNNNNNNNNNNNNNNNNNNNNNNNNNNNNNNNNNNNNNNNNNNNNNNNNNNNNNNNNNNNNNNNNNNNNNNNNNNNNNNNNNNNNNNNNNNNNNNNNNNNNNNNNNNNNNNNNNNNNNNNNNNNNNNNNNNNNNNNNNNNNNNNNNNNNNNNNNNNNNNNNNNNNNNNNNNNNNNNNNNNNNNNNNNNNNNNNNNNNNNNNNNNNNNNNNNNNNNNNNNNNNNNNNNNNNNNNNNNNNNNNNNNNNNNNNNNNNNNNNNNNNNNNNNNNNNNNNNNNNNNNNNNNNNNNNNNNNNNNNNNNNNNNNNNNNNNNNNNNNNNNNNNNNNNNNNNNNNNNNNNNNNNNNNNNNNNNNNNNNNNNNNNNNNNNNNNNNNNNNNNNNNNNNNNNNNNNNNNNNNNNNNNNNNNNNNNNNNNNNNNNNNNNNNNNNNNNNNNNNNNNNNNNNNNNNNNNNNNNNNNNNNNNNNNNNNNNNNNNNNNNNNNNNNNNNNNNNNNNNNNNNNNNNNNNNNNNNNNNNNNNNNNNNNNNNNNNNNNNNNNNNNNNNNNNNNNNNNNNNNNNNNNNNNNNNNNNNNNNNNNNNNNNNNNNNNNNNNNNNNNNNNNNNNNNNNNNNNNNNNNNNNNNNNNNNNNNNNNNNNNNNNNNNNNNNNNNNNNNNNNNNNNNNNNNNNNNNNNNNNNNNNNNNNNNNNNNNNNNNNNNNNNNNNNNNNNNNNNNNNNNNNNNNNNNNNNNNNNNNNNNNNNNNNNNNNNNNNNNNNNNNNNNNNNNNNNNNNNNNNNNNNNNNNNNNNNNNNNNNNNNNNNNNNNNNNNNNNNNNNNNNNNNNNNNNNNNNNNNNNNNNNNNNNNNNNNNNNNNNNNNNNNNNNNNNNNNNNNNNNNNNNNNNNNNNNNNNNNNNNNNNNNNNNNNNNNNNNNNNNNNNNNNNNNNNNNNNNNNNNNNNNNNNNNNNNNNNNNNNNNNNNNNNNNNNNNNNNNNNNNNNNNNNNNNNNNNNNNNNNNNNNNNNNNNNNNNNNNNNNNNNNNNNNNNNNNNNNNNNNNNNNNNNNNNNNNNNNNNNNNNNNNNNNNNNNNNNNNNNNNNNNNNNNNNNNNNNNNNNNNNNNNNNNNNNNNNNNNNNNNNNNNNNNNNNNNNNNNNNNNNNNNNNNNNNNNNNNNNNNNNNNNNNNNNNNNNNNNNNNNNNNNNNNNNNNNNNNNNNNNNNNNNNNNNNNNNNNNNNNNNNNNNNNNNNNNNNNNNNNNNNNNNNNNNNNNNNNNNNNNNNNNNNNNNNNNNNNNNNNNNNNNNNNNNNNNNNNNNNNNNNNNNNNNNNNNNNNNNNNNNNNNNNNNNNNNNNNNNNNNNNNNNNNNNNNNNNNNNNNNNNNNNNNNNNNNNNNNNNNNNNNNNNNNNNNNNNNNNNNNNNNNNNNNNNNNNNNNNNNNNNNNNNNNNNNNNNNNNNNNNNNNNNNNNNNNNNNNNNNNNNNNNNNNNNNNNNNNNNNNNNNNNNNNNNNNNNNNNNNNNNNNNNACUUUCUAAAAAAUGGUAAUAUGAUUUAUAUUUUUUAUGUUUUAUUUUGAAAAAACAUUAAUUAAAAAAUAAAAACCAUUUUUAAAAAUAAAAAUUGAAAACCUUGUUUAGUACUAUUUUUUAUAUGAAAAUAAUAAAAAGAAUUAAAUUCAUUUAUUAUCCAUUUUUAUUUUUUUCCAUUAGUUAUUUUAAUAAUAAAAUAAAAUAAAAAUAUAGUAUGUUUAUAAUUAAACAAAGAAAUUGAUCAAUUAUAUGUUUUUUGUGGGACUAUCUUUUACAUGAAAAAUAAUUAAAUAACUAAAUUAUAUGUAUUUAUUACUCUUUUAAAUUUUAUUUUCUUUAUUUAUUUUUUGUCUAAUAGAAAAUUUUAAUAUAUCCAUAAUUAACAAAGUAAUAAAUCAAUUGUGCACAUUUUAAUAUAUUAAAAUAAAUUACUUUCUAAUUUAAAUAAAUAAAAUGAAAUAAGUAAAUAAAUUUGGGGUUAUUUUUAUUUUUUAACAUAUCUUAUAUCAAUAUUUUUUAUGGUUAAAUAAAUAUUUUAUUUUUUAUUUCUUUAAUUCCAAAAAUAAAAUGAAAUAAAUAAAUAAAUUUAGUAUUUUCUAACUGAUCUUAUAUUCAUAUUUCUUAUGGUUAAAUAAAUUUUUUAUUCUUUUUUCUUUAUUUCCAAAAAUAAAAGGAAAUAAAUAAAUAAACCUUGCUUAAAUAAUAGUUUUUAAGUAAUUUCUUUGUCUUAUUUUUAAUUACAUUUUGCAUUGAAAAUAAAAUAAACAACGUUUUAUUUGAGUCACUGUAUGAGGUAUUUACACUAAGUGUACAUGACAAAUAUACUAACUGUAUAAGGGUGUACAAGACUAUUAUUUGUGAAGAAUUUUAAGUGAUUAUGAAAAACUUGUUUGUUUAUUUUCCCUAACCGAUGAUAAAUGACAUUCCUUACACAUAUUGGUUAAGCAUACAUUAAUCUCAAUGCAAACAUGGUUAACCGACCUAUUGUCAGAUAUUCAUGAGAUGAUAUAUGAAAUUUGAGUUAUUGUACAAAUGUAUUACACUAACUGUAUAAGACAAAUUUAUUAAUUGUACAAGGGUGUACAAGACUACUUUUUGUUAAGGAUUUUAAGUGAUUUUGAAAAACUUUGCCAUUUUUUUCCACUCAAAGAUUUUUUUCCCCACUCAAAUUCUCUCACUCAAGAAUUGUUUCGAAUUUUAUUUUUAAAUUUCAUCAUCAAAAUUUUGUAAUUGCAUAUUUUGUUUUUUUAGUUUUAGCAAUGUUCUUUCUUUCCACUAUUUUUUUUUUUUUGUGAAAUUUUAUCCAAAUGAAUCUAUAUUUAAAAUUAUAAUCAUAUUUAUCAAAAAAUUUACAAGGAUUAUCUUUAAUUCUUUUAAUAUAUUUAUACUCAUUUAUUUAAAAAAUUAUAAACUAACUUUUUUUUUGGUAAACAUAUUCUAUUACCUUUCAAGUAAAAAAUUAGAUAAGUUUGAAAGUCAAUAAAAAAAAUUAAAUACCACUUUCAAUAAUUUUUAGAUAAAAUUUUAUAUAAUAUAUUUCAUUUGAAAUUUAAUUUCUAAAGUUUCACUAAAAAAUUUUGUUGACAAUUUUCUUGUUGUGAAUCAAAAUACUUUGCAUUAGUCUAUCUAGAUAAGAAAAAUUGUUAAUAUAAUAUUAGAACUUCAUAUCUUAGUUAUUUUUUUCAAUAAAUUUAUCUUUUUAAAAUUUUUAAAAUAAAAACAUUAAAAAUUAAAAAGCUAAAAGGAUAUAUAUAUAUAUAUAUAUAUAUAUAUAUAUAUAUAUAUAUAUAUAUAUAUAUAAUAUAGUGAAGUGAUAGUCAAUUUUUAAAAUUUUUAAAAUAUGGUUAAUGUAGAAAAUAUAAAAAAAUAAUUAAAAAUAAGAGAAAAAUAUAAAUGAAAGGAUAAUAUAAAUUUAAAAUAAAAAAUGAAAAUUAAACUAUAAGAUAAAUACAAAAAGAUAAAAAAUAUUUGGAUGAAAAAUCCUAAAUUUUUUAUCAUUGCUUAUAAUAGGAACAAAAAGAUUCAAUAUCUUUAAAAAUGAAAAACAAAAAAACAUUAUUGCUUUUUAUUUGACAUAAAAUAGAAAUAUAGAUUGGAAGAAAAAAAAAGUUAGAAAUGAGUAAUACUUAAUAGGGAAUAGAAAAGAAAAAAAAAACACAAAAAAAUUGAAAUUCACACUCACUUGUGCUAUGUAAGGGUUAAGGGUAUUUUAGGGAUUAAUGAAGGACAAUAUCCUUCAUCUUAAUUUUCAUAUUUUGUUUGGGUUUUGGGCUUAAAUAUGCAUAAUAUAUGGACCAAAUGUUAAUUUUUGAGCCCAGUUGGGCCCAAAACACAAUACUCCCAUUGAAGAAUGAGAUCAGACAAUUGGACUAUAGUCAUUCAUUCGUGCCUGGUUUUACUACUUCCCUAUGUUUCUCUUGCUCCUUUCAGAGUCCCCACUUCUAUGCGUCUCUCAUAUUUAUUAACGGGAGAAUUGUGUUUUCAAUCCAAUUAGGUUGGAUAAUUAAGGUAAGGUCCUCCUAUCACUCAUAAUUAAACCCAAAACCCAAUGAAAGAGUAGAAAUUGAGAUGAAGGAUAUUGUCUUUAAAAAAAUCCCUAAAAUACCCUUAACUAUUAAAUGAAAAAAACUAACCAAUCACCUCACCUUUCUUAUUCUCUCUUUGAUCCGUUUACCCUUCUCUCAACUAUUUAAUAAUGGAACCAAGUUAAAUCAUUUUUCUUCGUCAAAUUGAAUAUGAAAUAUGGUUAAAAAUUAUUAUUGUCAAAUGCAUUUUUGAAAUGAAUAACUUUUAAAUACCUUAUCAAAUAUUAUUCUUUUUCCAACUUACAGAAUAUAUAAUAAAUAUUUUUUAAAUAUGUUGAAAACUUACAUAAUAUAUAAUAAAUAUUAUUCUUUAUUUCAAACUUAUAUUAUUUCUCAUAUAUAUUAAAUAAUUUUUAAACGCCUCAUAAAAUAUUAGUAUUAUUUGUUUGUUCUAACUUGUAAAUUAUAUAUCAUCAAAUAUUAUUUUUUUCAAAUUUAUAGAAUAUAUAAUAAAUACUUUUUAAAUACCUCACAAAAUAUUUUUUUUUUCUAACUUGCAAAUUAGACACAUGACGUUUAUUAUUUCUCAUAUUAUUUCGAAAAUAAUGUAAACACACACGCAUAUAUAUAUAAUCGGCCAAAUUAAAGUCUUCAAAAUAUUCAAAUUUUCUCAAUUCCAAAAUUAUCUAAUUAUUCCCCACACUAAUCCUAAAUAUUUUUUAAUAAAUAUUUAAAUAUUUAAAACCAUUAAAAUAAAUAUUUUCUUAUUAAAGCAAUUUUUUUCAAAGUAAUAAGAUAAAAAUUAUGAAAUCUUCAAAACUAUAAUUACAACAAAUAUUUUAAAUUUUAAAACUAAUUUCAUAAUUUAAAUUAAUAAUUUAAAAAAAUAAAAAUUUAUAAAAAUAAUUUUUGUUUAUUUUUAAUUCUAUUUAAAUAUGCUUUUUUUAAUCUCUAUUGAUAACAAUGAAAUUAUGUUUAUAAAAGCAAAAUAGUACAAAUAUAUAUUUCAUUUAGUUUACUUAUAAUGAACAAUUCAAACAUGAUUGAUUUUAAUUUUAUUUCCUAUGUGUUAAUUUUUGUAGGGAAUGUCUUUACGACAUAGUUUGGUAAAAAAAAGAAAAAAAACUGUCAAUAAUCGUCUUAAUGUCAAACUCAAGUUGUUUAAAAAUCGUACAAAACUUAUUAGUAGGAGCUUUGUAUACUCUUGUACACUUGACACAUUUUCCUUGUACAGUUAGUAUAAUACCCUUGUACAAUGACACAAAUUUCAUAUCUCUCCUAAGUUAUAUAUCUAUAUAGGUGUAUUAAUCAUAUUUUCAAUGGUUUAGUUGAUAAAAUAGUGAAUGACUUAGGGUCAAUUUUUUUUCCCCAAAUAUCAUUAUUGGGAAAAAUAUUGGAAUUUUCAUGUGAUAGUUAAAUAAAGUGCAUGACAUAGGUGUACAAUCCUUUGGUGACAAGGAAAAUUAAAAAAAUGAUUUAGAAUCGAUUGAAAUCAUUCACAAAUGAUAAUCUUGUACACCUUUGUACAAUUAGUACAUUUUCCUUAUACAGUUAGUAUAAUACCCUUGUACAAUGACACAAAUUUCAUAUUCCUUCUAAGUUAUGUGUUCAUGUAAGAGUGUUUAACCAUAUUUCCAAUGGUUUAGUUGAGAAGAUGGUGGAUGACUUAAGAUCAAAAUUUUUUUCCCCANNNNNNNNNNNNNNNNNNNNNNNNNNNNNNNNNNNNNNNNNNNNNNNNNNNNNNNNNNNNNNNNNNNNNNNNNNNNNNNNNNNNNNNNNNNNNNNNNNNNNNNNNNNNNNNNNNNNNNNNNNNNNNNNNNNNNNNNNNNNNNNNNNNNNNNNNNNNNNNNNNNNNNNNNNNNNNNNNNNNNNNNNNNNNNNNNNNNNNNNNNNNNNNNNNNNNNNNNNNNNNNNNNNNNNNNNNNNNNNNNNNNNNNNNNNNNNNNNNNNNNNNNNNNNNNNNNNNNNNNNNNNNNNNNNNNNNNNNNNNNNNNNNNNNNNNNNNNNNNNNNNNNNNNNNNNNNNNNNNNNNNNNNNNNNNNNNNNNNNNNNNNNNNNNNNNNNNNNNNNNNNNNNNNNNNNNNNNNNNNNNNNNNNNNNNNNNNNNNNNNNNNNNNNNNNNNNNNNNNNNNNNNNNNNNNNNNNNNNNNNNNNNNNNNNNNNNNNNNNNNNNNNNNNNNNNNNNNNNNNNNNNNNNNNNNNNNNNNNNNNNNNNNNNNNNNNNNNNNNNNNNNNNNNNNNNNNNNNNNNNNNNNNNNNNNNNNNNNNNNNNNNNNNNNNNNNNNNNNNNNNNNNNNNNNNNNNNNNNNNNNNNNNNNNNNNNNNNNNNNNNNNNNNNNNNNNNNNNNNNNNNNNNNNNNNNNNNNNNNNNNNNNNNNNNNNNNNNNNNNNNNNNNNNNNNNNNNNNNNNNNNNNNNNNNNNNNNNNNNNNNNNNNNNNNNNNNNNNNNNNNNNNNNNNNNNNNNNNNNNNNNNNNNNNNNNNNNNNNNNNNNNNNNNNNNNNNNNNNNNNNNNNNNNNNNNNNNNNNNNNNNNNNAAUUGAACUUUUUAUUUUAUAAUAGUAAAAAAAAAACUUUAAAAUAAUUUUUAGCAUAAAAGAAAUUAAAAUAGUGAAUAUAUUUAUUUUAAAUAGUGUUUUAAUCAUUAAAUUAUUUACUUCUAAAAUGUAGAAGAUAAAAAUAAAUGUAAAAGAUAAUUUUUAUUUAUUUAAAUUAAUAUUUUUUUAGAAAGUAUUUUCCAAAAUAGUCUUUGAAGCAUUAAUAUAAUUUUUGUUUAUUUAUAAUUUAAAAAUAAAAAAUAAUGUUGAUUUUUCAAUUAUUUAUAAAAGAGUUUAAACAAAUAAUGAAAAAUCUAAAAAUAGUUAAAUAAGAAAGAAUAGUGGCACGUGAAGAGUGGUAGAAUAAAGACCAAAUUAAGUCAAAUGGAUAUUUUUGUCAAUUACUAUCUCAUAUCCUUGUAAUCAAUUAUGGGUGUUUGGAGGACUUUACCUUAAUUAUCAAGCCUAUGGGUUAAAAACAUAAUUUUCCCUUUAUUAAUUUCAAAAGUUAGAAGACAAUCAUUAAAGUCAUAAAAAUAAUAAUAAAAAAAUAUCUUCAUUUUUUAUAUUAUAUAAUUAUGAAACAUUUUUAUUUUUUAUUUUUUAUUUUUACUAGAAGGAAAUUGAUACUAUAAUGUUUAAUAUUUAUAAAAUUUUAAAAAAUAAUUUAAAAGUUAUUUAUGUUUUCUAUUUUUUAAAAAUAGUAAAAAAAAUUUAUCCAAAUAAUAUUUUAAUUAUUUAUUCUAUUUAAUUUUUUAAUUUAUAUUAAAUUAACUAAAAUUUGGUCAAUUAUUAAUGUAUAUCUUAAUAAUAUGAGUCACUAUUAAACGGACUAGGUCUAGUUAAUCCUAUGAUUUUUAUGUUGAUUAGAUCUACCAACACUAACAAGUCCUGGUAGGAAUAGAAAGUAACUGCAACCAACCACUCCGCAACUUUCAUACCAAUGGUAACAAUAAUAUAUAAAUUUACCAAUGGUAAAUCUGAAAGACUAUGAAAUUUGGUUUUCAAAUAAAUUGAGAAUUAAAAAUAGAUAUUAUCUUGUUGAUAAGUUUCCUAAGAAAAGGGAAACAAAUCUCCAAUAAAAAAGAGAUAAUGGAUAAUAUUUUGUUUGUAAGAAGAAAAUUUGAUAAUAAAUUUAGAAUUAAGCAACUAAGUCAUAAAAAUUAAAAAUUCAAUUCCCUAUUUUUACCUAUUCCUUCAAGGACAAAACGAUUGUACAUGAGAAAAAAAUGUUUCAUAAAAAAGAAAAGGUUUCACAAAAUUUUUCUAUAAGUUUUAGAAAUUACAAAAGAACCAUAUGCGUGUUCUUACCUUUUGACAAAGUUAUCUAGGAAUAAGUCACUUCAGAGUCUUAAUUGAUUUUCAAAAUAAAAAAAACAAUUUCAUUGUCUACUUUUAGAUUAUGAUCAAAGUGAAAAAAUAAGGGGAAAAGUAUUUUUUUUGUAAAUUUUUUUUAUUUAUUUAUAAUAUUGUCUAUUUUUACAAGACUUUUUGAAAUUUGUGUGUGCAGUGGAUUCAAAAGAAUCCUUAGAUUUCAUUUUGUGCCAAUGUUUAUAAGUCCAUUUUUAACAUUAAAAAAAUUAAAAUUUUAGUUUACAAUUGUAAUUUUAAAAGAAAAUUUGAAAAUAUUAAAUUACGAAGAGGCAGUAGGGUAGCAGUUGAUUGAGGGUUUUUUUCUAAGGUAUUUUGUUUUAUUAAAAGGCAUACUUUUUCACCAAAUAUUGAAGUUAUAUUUGAUUCACAAAAUAUUAAAGAAAGAAAAAAUUAUUAAAAAAAUAGUUUUUAUAUUUAAUUUCAUUAUAAAAAUAUAUAAAAAAUAAAAUAUAAUUAAAAUCAAUUUAAAAUUUAUUUAUAUUUAAAUUAUUUAAUCUCUAUAUAAUAAAAAUAACAAUUUAUUAACUUCAAACUUUUUUUUUUUCAUUUUCUUCAUCCUAUUUUUUUUUUCCUCCAUUUCCUUUCACUUAUAUUUUUCCUCAAAAUUUAAUUUCCCACGACCAAACCUAGCCUAAGGGUGGGCAGCAUGUAAGCAGACAAAAUGAGAAGUGAGUGAAAAUGAGAGGUUGCAGCCUUUUAUUGUCAAACUACUACCAUUCGUUUGUGGUUUAUUGUCAAAACCUUUUAUUGUCUGUGUAUGCCGACAAAAACUUUAUUUAUUUUUAAAUUAUUUAAUUUUUAUGUCAAAAGGUUAAAAUAAAUAAAAUAAAUUUAAAAUAACAUAUAAAAAUAAUUUAUUCAUUUUAAAUUUAUUUUUUAUUUUUUAUUUUUCUUUCUAAUUUUCUUAUCCUAUACACGUGCGUUUUCUGUAAAGCACAUUCAAUAAUGAUGUUUAUGAUUCGAAGUGAUUUCUGCCUCUUUAGUAGCUUUGGUGCUUUUGGAUUUAAUUAUGUCACCAAUCAACUAUUGGAAAAUUUAAAGAAAAUUAGAUGACUGAAAUUUGAAUAUAAAGUGUUAAACACAAGUUGGAGGUUUUGUUCUCUAGUCCCAAGACCUUUGCAAUUAAUUGAGUGGAAAAUUAAAAAAAUUAUAUGAUUCAACCUUGAUUGUCUUAAUUAAGCAUAUGGGAAUUGAACAUAGAAAACUAGUGUGGACCCCGCAUUUCGCAUGAUGCGUUCUCACUUGAUGGCGAAACUCGUUUUUUAUUUGAGAAUGAUUUAUUUCUUUAGAAAAUGAAUUGGAGUCGUCACUUAUUUUUGUUUUAUUUUUAAAGGGAAAACAAAAUAAGAAAGAAAAACCCCAAGUGUGACUCCUGAAGGAAAAACAUGUUUGUGAAAAACCGAGUCGGGUCCGAGGGUCAAGUUACUUAUUUGGAAGGUACGAUAAAAACCGUAUCACCCAUCUAAGUUCCUAAAAAUAGGUCUCUACUAAAUAAGAUGUAGCAAGCAUGAUAAUUGAUUGAUUAAACAUGGAUACUGAAUAGUAAUCAAAUGUAUGAAAAUAAGACACGCAUGAUAACAAAUAAAUUAAUAAACACUAUCGGGUACAAGGUGUACCGUAGUCACAAGCUGAGCGCUAUCAUAAGAGACAAGGUUAGUGCACAAAUACAGAAUAACCGCGUGCAUGGUCACAGAAUGAGGCAAACCAAUCAAGUAUAUCAAUUAAACAGUGAAUGAGAAAAUCACAUAUGUUGGGUCCCACCAAAGCCCAAUCGAUCUCGCAUGAAUUAAUCUCACAAGUUCCAUUAGUCUAGAAUUAUGAAAAUUGUCUUCGUGCUUAUUGAGAAUCGAGAAGAACAGAAGAUUAUUUGGAAACAAGAGUGAACUUAAAACUGUUAAAGAGAAAAUUGGAUUUUCGAAAUUUAUUUGAAAAUUGGAAUCUCAAGGAUUGUUUGAAAAUUGAAGUUUCGGGAAUUAAAUUUGAGGAUCGGAAACUUGGAGAUUAAAUUUGAAAAAAACCGGAAUUGAAAAUUAUUUGAGAAGUAGAAACUGUGAAAAUUUAAUUACAUAAAUUGGAAUAUUUGUAAAUCGUUCGAGUCGAAGGUGGAAUUCUUUUGAAAAUAAACAAAUAAAAUGCUAAUAAUAAUAAUAAUAAUAAUAAUAAAUAAAUAAAUAAAUAAAUAAAUAUAUAAAUCAAUAAAUGUGAAAACUGGAAUUUUAGAAAUUGAGAGUUAAAUUCAAAAAUUAGAAUUUUGGGGGGUUAUUUAGAGAUGAAAUUUUAAAUAAAUGAAUAAAUAAAUGAAUGGAAUAAUAAUAAUAAUAACGUAAGUAAUAAUGAUUAGAUAAAUAACUGUGAAAAUUGGAAAUUGAAUUUAGAGAUUGGAAAUUUGAAGAAUUAUUUAGAAAUGAAAUUUUAAACAAAUGAAUAAAUAAAUAAAUAAAUAACUAAAGUAAUAGUGAUAAUGGAAAUAAAAGUGAUUAACGGAAUACGUGAAUGAAUAAAUAAACGGAAUAAUGACAAUAACAAAAAUAAUAAUAAUUAGAGAAAUAAUUGUGAAAACUAGAAAUUGAAUUUAGGAAUUGGAAAUUUGAAUAAUUACUUAGAAAUGGAGUUUUAAAUAAAUAAAUAAACGGAAUAAUAGUAAUAACGAAAAUAAUAAUGAUUAGAUAAAUAAUUGUGAAAAUUGGAAAUUGAGUUUAGAAAUUGGAAAUUUGAAGAAUCAUUUGGAGAAAGAAUUUUAAAUAAAUGAAUAAGUGAAUAAACAAAUAAACGGAAUGAUAGUAAUAAUGGAAAUAAUAAUGAUUGGAUAAGUAAUUGCGAAAAUUGGAAUUUUGGAAAUUGGAAAUUAAAUUUGGAGAUCAGAAUUUUGUGGAAUUAUUGAAAAAUGGAAUUUAUUUUUUUAUUUUUUUAAAAAAGGAAUGAAUAAAUAAAUAAAUAAAAUAAUAAUAAUAAUAAUAAUGAAAAUAAUAAUAAUUAAAUAGACAAACGUGAAAAAUAGGAUUUUGCUGACCUAAAAUUCUAAGGAGGGAUAAGCGUAUGAAGAAUGAAGAUUAUUGGAAGAACUAAAAAUUGGAAAACUAUUUGCAAAAAGGGAUUAGGGGAUUAUUUUUAAAAUCGAAAGAUGGAAUUUGGAGAGUGACACGUGGCCCAAAGGUGGCCAUGCAAAAGGUGGCCAUGCUAAAUGAUGUCAAAGAUAGAGAGAAUGAAACCCAAAGAUAGAAGGAUGCUGGUAGGAACGAGAGCUUUAUCCCAUCUCCUUUGCUCGUGCCAUAUGAGAAUCCAAACUUCCUUGAAAUCACAAGACCCAUACCCUCCAUCCUUCAUGCUGGUAAACAUAGGCAAGACUGCACUUGCUACAAUAGUGUCUAUCAAAGUGGUUGGCCAUGAAGGUACCCACGCAGCACUCAGAAUCAAGGCAAUCCCUUCUCAACCUCUAUGUAGGACCUUAGGCGCUACCAACUCUCCUAAAAGCAAGUGCUGUUAGGAAAGGCGCAUACCCUAGCCUUAUAGUGCAUUCACCCAAGCGCCCACGGUGAACACAAAGGGAGUUGAUGGACACGACCAACCCUUCGAUCUGCCAACAAGUUGAUGGACAUGGCUAACCCUCUGAUUUGCCAACAAUCUCCCCCCCCAGCGACACCCCUGGGGUUUGAACCCGUGACCUUGGCUCUGAUACCACUUGUAGGACCUCAGGCGCUACCAACUCUCCUAAAAUCAAUUGCUGUUAGGAAAGGCGCAUACCCUAGCCUUAUAGUGCAUUCACCCAAGCGCCCACGACGAACACAAGGGGAGUUGAUGGACACGGCCAACCCUCCGAUCUGCCAACAACAUGGGGUUGAUUACACAGAGGUUUUUGCGUCGGUGGCAAGGAUGGAUAAAGUUCGAAUGAUUAUUGCUCUUUCAGCUCAAAGAAAUUGGACAAUUUACCAACUAGAUGUGAAAUUAGCCUUUCUUCAUGGAGAGCUAAGUGAAGAGGUGUUUGUUGAGCAACCAAGAGGCUAUGAGCAAAAGAACAAUCCGCACAAGGUGUACAAACUGAAGAAAGCCUUAUAUGGACUUAAACAAGCUCCACGCGCUUGGUUUAGUCAUAUAGAAGCACACUUUGUGAAUGAAGGAUUUGAGAGGUGCCACAGUGAGCAUACCUUAUUCGUCAAAACAAGCAAAGGAGGUAAAAUUUUAAUUUUGAGUUUGUAUGUUGAUGACCUCAUUUUUACUGGAAAUGAUGAAUCAAUGUUUUAUGAGUUCAAGAGCUCUAUGAUGCGUGAGUUUGAUAUGACUGAUUUGGGAAAGAUAAGGUAUUUUCUUGGAUUUGAAGUAGAAGACUGAUGGCAUUUACAUCAGUAAAAAGAAAUAUGCCUUAGAUGUGUUGAAAGGAUUUGGGAUGGAGGAGAGCAAUUCUAUCCAUAGUCCGAUUGUUACAAGUUUUAAAGUCUUCAAAGACGAAAAUGGAGUCAAGGUUGACGCAACAUUCUUCAAGCAAAUGGUAGGGAGUCUCAUGUAUCUAACAGCAACGCGACCUGACUUAAUGUUAGUAGAUACAUGGGGCAACCAACUGAGCUUCACUUACAGACUGCAAAGAGGGUGUUAAGAUAUUUGAGAGGCACAACAAAUCUUGGGAUCUUUUACAAGAAGGGAGGGAAUGAUUAAUUGGUUGUCUUUACUGAUAGUGACUAUGUCGGUGAUUUGGAGGAUAGGAAAAGCACAUCAGGGUAUGUAUUCAUGUUGAGUUCCGGAGCUAUGUCUUGGUCUCUAGAAAGCAGCCUGUUGUUUCACUCUCCACAAUUGAAGCUGAAUUCAUAGCCGCAACAUCCUGUGCAUGUCAAGCUGUUUGGAUGAGGAGAAUCUUAGAGAAGCUCAGUCAUACACAAGGUAAUUGUACUAUUAUGUUUUGUGACAAUAGUUCAACAAUUAAAUUAUCAAAGAAUCCAAUGAUGCAUGGACGAAGCAAACACAUAGAUGUUCGCUUUCAUUUUCUGCGUGAUCUUACUAAAGAAGGAGUAGUGGAAUUAGUUCAUUGUGGUACACAAGAUCAGAUUGCAGAUGUGAUGACUAAGCCUCUCAAGCUUAACAUGUUUCUGAAGUUGAGAGAGUUGAUGGGUGUUCGUGAAGUUCCAGAUGUAAACUAAUUGUUGUUAGCAGUUAGUUUAAGGGAGGGUGUUAAGAUUUAAGUUUUCUGAUUGUUUUUUUUUUUUUUUGUUUUAAUAAUCCCUAUUAAGCAAGGUAGUUUUAUAAGUAGGGUAGUUUUCAGCUUUAACUUAUUCUCUACUCUUUACCACGUUAUUUGUUAGUGUAAAACGUGGGCUGUUUUUCUUAUCAAUUAGUUAUUGUAAGGCUAUUUUAUUAGCUAAGGUUGUUGAUCAAUAGAUGUGGAUUUUUCCCAGUUUUCUUCCAUUCAGUUUUAAUUCACAACAUUCUGGUAUCAGAGCCAGGUUCAAAGCAGCAGCUUUUGUAAUUUGUAGCAGCAAGAGAGAUGACAAUUGAAGGGAAUUUUGUGCAACCUACUAUUCCUCGAUUUGAUGGUCAUUACGAUCAUUGGAGCAUGUUGAUGGAAAUUUUUUUAAGAUCUAAGGAGUACUGGAGUCUUGUGGAGACUGGUUAUGUUGAGCCAGAAAGCGGACCAGUAUUGACAGAGGUGCAACAGAAGAAGCUUGAUGAGAUGAAGCUGAAAGACUUGAAGGUGAAAAAUUAUUUGUUUCAAGCUAUCGAUCGAACGAUUCUAGAAACCAUCUGAUUCGUGCCCAACUGGUGUAUGUCCUAUUGAUUGGUGUUCAAUCAACUGGUGUGCCUUGAUUUCGGUCCUCAGACGAGAGUAAUCAACAAAAUUUAUAAACCUAUUUCACCAUGUACUAGGGUAGCAUUAGCUAGCAGAGCAUAGUGGCUCUAGGAUCGUUCACUGGGAUGAGUUUUCAAAUUACAACUGAUAUUAGUUCAAAACUGAAUUGGUGCUUUUUCUUUUCAAGGUUAGCUUUAAAAAAAAACAUAAAGAUGUUUGGAAAGGUUGGUUUUUAAGUGAAACCAAUAAUAAAGUAAUGGAAAUUACUUACAAAGAAAAGUGUUUCUUGGAGUUUUUAGAUCACUGGGCUCAGGUUCCUUAUACAAAAGAGAAUUCCGGUCACUUGAAUCUUUUCCUCGUAUUGGGGAUUUAACAUAGAGUUAUUUCCCGAAUCGGUGUGGUACAGAUGCUUUCCCUUAAUGGAUUCAAACACUAAUUCCCUGUCAUUGAAUCAUCUUGCAAUGGUUCAUACCUCUCACCUUGUAUUGGCCAUUCAAAGUGAUCCUUAACCUUGGAUUACCCGUUAAAAGCUCGCAAAAGAUAACUAAUGGAUGUCUCCUUAGAGUCCAAAAGCUUACCAAGUGUUGGCUAUUCUAGAAAAUCCUACCUUUAAACCACCUCCCAAAGGCUUGCAAGAGAUAAAUUAGUGUAACUCAAUGGACGGAGUUCACUUGCCUUACCAAGUGUUGGCCCAGGUGAUUUUAAGGCAUUUUAAGUUAACUAAAAAGAUAAAAACCAUUAACGGGUCACACUUUCUCUUCAUUAAAAACUGAAACAACAAAACUUCCAAUUUUUGCAUUCGGAACCUUACCCAGCUUCCUUUACUCCAAGAAACAAAAAGCCUAGCCACUCAUCCUCUGGGAAAACAUCCUCAGAGUUUGUUUGACUAGUGAGAAAAAUACAAUCAAAAUGAGUAGGUAAGGCAGAGCAAAGCUUUGUGUAUUACUUUCUUCAAAACUAUACAAAAGUUGGUCUCUGAGAAAAAACUCCCGAGAUAUCUUUAAAAGAAAAUUACAAUAGAUUAUAUAGAAAUGUUAUUCACACUUCCUUCUUACUUCCUAACUAAGAAAUCCUAUGAUUGGUGGAUUACAAAGAGAAAAUAGGGAUUUAAACAACAAAUAUCUGAAAAAAAAAUAUAACAGAGUCGGUCACAAAUAUCUGGGAUCACACAGGUGGAUUUCGCAAGUUGAAACAUGACUUGCGAAAAUUUCGCAAGUUGGACUUUGAUUUCGCAAGUUGAAUUUGUGAUUUCGCAACUUGCGAAAUCGUCUUUUAGCUUGGUGCGGUUGUCUUUCAAUGGUCAUAACUUCUUUAUUUCAGCUUCGAUUUGCACACUGUUUAAAGCGAUGGACUCCUGACUUCCCGAGCUUCGAAAUGAUAUAUUAUGUGUAUAAAAUGGACUCCAAGAAGUGCUCGAAAUGUGUCUUGAAGCUGCUCUCCUCUUUAAUUUCUUCAUGUUAGAUUCGUCUCUCUGUUUUUCCUCCUUGCAUUCUUGAUUUGGCUUUGGCAAAGGACUACGAAGCUCUAAAGCUUGGAUUCUUCAUGUAAAUGAACUUCUAUUUGCUUUGCCAUGGAUUAUAUAGAGCUCUCCCUCAAUCUUGGAUUGCUUUGGUGAUAAAAAAGCUAUCAAAAACACCAAAACUUAACACAAUUUGAUUAGAAACGAUUGCAAGGGUUCUUAACAUGUCAAUUGAGUUAAAAGGUAAUAACUACUACUCAAAAGUGUUUAAAAGAGUUAAUUGCAAACUAUAAAAUAGCACUUUUUGAGUAGUAAUCACUCCACCCAACCAACAUAUUGCUAGUCCCUUAGCAAUGAAUGAGAGAAAAAUAAAAAUAAACAGUAUUAUAAUUUACAACAUCAUGCUGAUCACUUCAAAAAAUUUCAAGUGGCAUGAUGAUCAAACUCUCACAUGGAACAUUAAAGAUGUAAAACUCAAACUUCAACAAGAGUUAUCAAAUAACUUGUCUAAUAACAAUUCAUGAAGAGAAGACAUUAUGCAAAUUUAAGCUUCAAAAUAAUUUCCACUCCCAAAGGAUCGAUCCUAACUCUUCCGCAAAAAUAUAUGUGUUACUUGUUUGUUUCAGAAUAUAGUAUGCUGAACUAAUCUCUCCCCCUAACCUAGUUCUUUUUCAAAUCUUAGCAAACUGACAACCUUCAAUAGGCUAAGAAAGCACCUCUUGGUUCACAAUUUUUUUCAUUGUAGGAGUACAAAGCUAAAGGUAUUGUUUUCUAAAUUGUCCAUGUAACGGGGGUCCAUCGAUGACUCCUAACCAAUUAAGGUUUAGGGUAUCAAGCUUUAAGGAUCUUUCAACCACUAAUUCCUCAGAUUUUACCUCGGACUUUUGAGAAUGAAUUUUAAUACCCAAGCACCAACAGUAUGUUAAACUCCCUCUAUUCACCCUUGUAACGAGCAUUGAGAUCGGUGACUCCCAACCAAUGAAGGCUUAGGGCACUAGGUUUUAAAGAUUUUCACCAUAUACCCCUUAGACCUUGCUCGGGUUUCAAGGCAAGUAAAACAUUUUUUUCUUUCUUUCUUUUUUCCAAAGGCUCAUUGGCCUGUUAUAAGGUGUACCAACACUAUUAAAAUGAGGUCAAAAGUACUAAGUCUAAAUUUUCCUAAGUCAAUGGGGUGAAAUAGUUUUUCAUCUUAUAAUCGGAACCUAGUGUGCACAGUGUGUGAAUAGCUUAAAGUGGAAGAAAUAAGGUUGAAUUCAAUAGAAGUUUCAACAAUUCAUAAACUUUAAUAAGCAUAAUACAAAUUCUAAGUCAAGUAAAAAGACAAAAAUUCAAUUUCUCCCAUUUCAUUUUGAGAAUUUUUCCUUAAUAACCAUGAAGAGUAGAAUAAAAACUUAAAAAAAUUUUAAAAUUAAGCAAAAAAAAAAAAAUUACCAAAAUAACUUAGCAUUAAUAGCAAAACUUCCUUCCUCAACUCUCUUCCUCCCAACCAAGCUGAACAUUGCCCUCAAUGUGACAAGAGUGAUUGAAAAUAGAGGGAGGAAGUGGUGUCUCCUGAGUGACAUGAAGUCUGAGUCGUCUAGGAGAAACAACAUGAUUCAAAAACAAAAAAAAAAUAUGGGUAGAGGAAAUAAAAUAAUAGUAUGCCAAGUAUGCUAAAAAAAUGAUGUAUAUGUAUUACUUUAAGAAAGUACAAUAUGAACUGUGAACAAGUAAUACAUCCAAUCCCAGUAUAUAAAACAUAAAAAACAUGGGAUUACGAGUUCUACUAUAAUAAGUAAAUACAAAAAAGUAGAUAGAUGACCAGGUAGUGGUGGGAGGAUCGUGUGGAGAUGAUGGCUCGGCUGUGGUAGUUUGAGUGCUCUGGAUCGGAGUCUUGAUCUCUAUUGUAGUAGUCUCCUCAUGGGGCACAGUUUGCUCUGCUGGAAGAGCGUCCUAAGAUGGAUUUCUAGGCUCUGAUGGACCAGGCAUAUCACUCUCAGGUGGUGACAAAAUACCCAAAUGCUGUUGUAUCUGCCUAAGGAUGGCAGUAUGCUAGGUCUGGGUGGCAAUAAGUCGAUCCUGAUGUGCACGUAUUACUGCCAUCUACUGGGCAAGAACACUCUGAGUAUUAGUCAAUGUCUGCAAUGUAUGACAUAGGCUUCUGAACUCUGAAGUAGAUAUGGUGAUAGUAGACUCAGGUGGAGGAGGCGCUGAUGUAGUUGGUACGACUGGUGGAGUCCCAGAAGUGGUAGGAGGAGCAGAAGAUGUAGCCUCAGACGUGAGCAGUGUAGAAGGUGCUAUAGGGGCAAGUGGUAUGAUCUCCGCAGGUAUCUCAGCCUGUUGUGCCUGCUUGUUCUGUGGUAUCUCUGGAUGUGCUGGCCUAGCUGGGGCUCCUAGAGGUGCAACAUAAGCUGUCAUAUGAUUCCAUUUGUUGAGAGUGAAUAUCUCUCGAAAAAUGCGUCAGCACUUAAGCUGAGGCUCAGAAGGAUAGCCCAAAUGCUCUAAUAUCUGACAGAGCAGCCUAGAAAAAAGUAGUGGAAUGGCAUAUGCUCUCUGUAGCUUCUUCCUAUGGACCUUCUCUUCAAAGUAAAGAAGAGAGGUCAUAAUCAAAUGAUGAGGGCCAAAGUAAAAACCCUCUGAUAUCCUAAACAAGGCCUCUAGUGUAUCUCCUCUCCUCUGCACCAUAUGCUGAAGUGGAAAUAUGUUGGAGCACAGUAGCACAUCCAGAAGAAACAUCCCAGGCGGAAGCUCCUUCCUAAAAAGAAAUGAGCGCGUGGAUGUCCCCCUGGACAAUAUACGGACCAUGUCACUCUGAGAAAAAUGAGCCCACUCUCUGCAAUCUACUGGACUCACAGGCUCAUAUGGAAUGUGCAGGGCCUCUGUAAUGUGUCUGGCUCCUAAGAUACCAUGGCGUCCAUCAAUAGUGAAGUAGAUAAUAGUAGGAUCCGGGACGCGAUGCGUAGUCAUAGACUGAAAAAAUUCUAAUGCUACUUGGGGAUAAAAGAAAUCCCUUGGAGUCAUCAGGUACUCCAAAUGGUAUCUCUGCAGUAGGUGGAAUGAAUCGCUAGGCUUCGGCUGGUGUUUGAAAGUCUCUCUAUCAAAGCAUAGCUCGGAGUGGAAUGGACUAGCUCGGCAAUCCAAAUUUCCCUCUAUAGGUGGCUGUGUAACCAUAGGUCGUCUGAUAAUCCCUUUCGGAGUCAUCCUAGCAGGAAUCUGAGACUCUGUAGUAGGCAGUUGAGGCUAUGGAGGUGUUGAUGACUCUCUUAGGCCUGAAACUCUGGCUUUCUUUGCAGAAGGGCGACGAAUUGAUUUCUUGGGGCGCGAAUUGCUUGCCUAGGUGUAGUGGGUGGUCUCAUCGUCUCGUACAUUCGCUGAGAAGGACUAGGUGGCACUCCACCCUUAGAAGGUGGAAUGGCAAGGGCCUGUGGUGCCUCAGACAUGGAAUCUCACUAAUUCGUGGUUCCCAAUUGGUGUCUCAGCUGAUUCAUGUCCAGCUGGUGUUCCUUGAUUGAGGGAGUAAUCAACAAAAUUUAUAACCUAUAUCACCAUGCAUUAGGAUAUCUUUAGCUAAUAUAGCAUAGUGGCUCUAGGAUCGUUCACUGGGAAGGGUUUUCAACUCACAACUGAUACCAAUUCAAAGUUAAAUUGGUGCUUUUUCAUUUCAAGGUUAGCUUAAGAAAAAAAAACAUAAACUUUGGUUGAAAAAGGUUUUGUUUUAAGCUAACUAAAAAGAAAGUAAUGAGAAUUACUUAUGAAGAAAAGCAUUCCUUGGAGUUUUAGGUUCACAGGGAAGGCUCCUCAUGUAAAAACAGAGCUCUGGUCACUUGGUUCAUUUCCUCGCAUUAGAGAAUUAACAUAUAGUCAAUUCUCUAACCGGUGUUGUAUAGAUGCUUCCCUUUAAUGGAUUUCAGCACUAAUUCCCUCUCACUGAUGCAACUUGCAAUGGCUCGUACCUCUCACCUAGCUUUUGCCAUUCAAAGUGAUCAUUAACUUUGGACUUCCCUUCUCAAGCUCACAAAAGAUAACUAAUGGAUGUCUCAUUGGAGUCCAAAAGCUUACCAAGUGUUGGCAAUUCUAGAAAAUCCUACCUUCAAGUCACCUCCCAAAAGCUCGCAAGAGGUAAACUAGUGCAUCUCCAUGGACGGAGAUCACUUGCCUUACCAAGUGUUGGCUCAGGUGAAUUGUAGGUGUUUUAAGUUAACUAAAAACAUAGAAAUCAUUAAUGGGUCACACUUUCUCUUCAUUAAUGGCUGAAACAACAAAACUACCAAUUCUUGCAUUUGGAACCUUUCCCAGCAACCUUAGCUCCAAGGAACUAAAAGUCUAGCCACUCAUUCUCUGAGGAAUUAUCCUCAGAGCUUGUUUGGCUAGUAAGAAAAAUUAAAUAAAUAUAUACAAUCAAAGUAGGUAAGGCAGAGCAAAAGCCUUGAAUUUUACUUCCUUCAAAAACUAUACAAAAGUUGUUAGAACAAGCUUCCGUCUCUCCACUUUAAUGGAAACUUACAAGCAUUAAAUAUGGGUUUAUUUACCCUUUGUUCUUGCUUAAAGACUAAGGAAUCCUAUGAUAGGUGGGUUACAAGGAGAGUUUGGGGAUUUAGACAUCAAAUAUCUAAAGCAAAAAAAUCUCAAAAUGUUGGUCGCAAAUAUCGGGAAGCUUCAGGAGAAUUUCGCAGCCGUACAAGAGGGCUGCGAAAUUUCACAGCAUGAAGGACACCAUUUCGUAGCCAAAGGCUGAUUUCACAGCCCUGCGAAAUUUGCCUUCAGCUUGGAGUGAUCGGCUUCCAAUGGCUGUAACUACUUCAUUUCAACUCCGAAUCAUGUACCAUUUAAAGCAUUGGAUUUCUAACUUCCUGAGCUUCGAAACAACAUAUAGUAUGCAUAAAUUGAGCUCUAGGAAGUGCUCUAAAAGUGACUGACAGUGACUAUCCUCUAGAAUGCUUCAUGAUAGAUUUCUCUUUGCUUCCCCUCCUUGCAUUCCGGAUUUGCUUAUGGCAAAGGACUUUAAAGCUUCAAAGCUUUGGUUCUUCAUGUUUCUGAGCUUUCCAUUGCUUUUCCAUGGAUUCCAAAUAACUCUCCUCAAUCUCGGAUUGCUUUGGUGAUCAAAUUACUAACAAAAACACCAAAACUUACACAAAGUGAUUAGAAAUGAUUGCAAAGGUCCUUAAUACGUUAAUUGAGUUAAAAAGUAAUAACUACUACUCAAAAGUGUUUAAAAGAGUUAAUUACAAGCUAUCAAAUAGCACUUUUUGAGUAGUAAUCACUCCCCCCAACCGACAUAUUGCUAGUCCCUUAGCAAUAAAGGAGAGAAAAAGUAUUAAAAAGUAAUAUACUUUACAAGAUCAUGCUUAUCACUUCCAAAAAAUUUUAAGUGGCAUGAUGAUCAAACUCUUACAUGGAACAUUAAAGAAAUAUAAACUCAAAUUUCAACAAGAGUUAUCAAAUACUUUGCUAAACACAAUUCAUAAAGAGAAGGCAUUAUGCAAAUUGAAGCUCUAAAAUCAUUUCUACUUCCAAAGGACCAAACCUUACUCUUCCAUAAAAAUCUAAGUGUUAGUUGAUAGCUUCCGAAUAUAGUAUGCUGAACUAAUCUCUCCCCCCAACCUAGUUCUUUUUUAACACUUAGAAAACUGACCAAAUUCAAUAGGCUAAGAACGCACCCUUUUGUUUCACAAUUUUUUUUCAUUGUAGGAGUACAAGGCUUAAAGGUAUUCUUUUCUAAAUUGUCCAUGUAAGGGGGUCCAUCGAUGGCUCCCAACCAAUUAAGGUUUAGGGCAUCAAGCUUUAAGGAUCUUUCAAUGACUAACUCCUCGGAUUUUACCCCGGACUUUUGAGAAUGAAUUUUAAUACCCAAGCACCUACAGUAUGUUAAACUUCACCUAUUCACCCUUGUAACGAGCAUUGAGGUCGGUGGCUCCCAACCAAUGAAGGCUUAGGGCACCAGGUUUUAAAGAUUUUCACCAUAUACCCCUCAGACCUUGCUCGGGUUUCAAGGCAAGCAAACAUUUUUCUUUUUUUUUUUUUUCAAAGACUCAUUGGCUUUUUAUAAGGUGUCCCAACACUAUUAAAUGAGGUCAAAGGUAUUAAGUCUAAAAUUUUCCUAAGUCAAGAUGGAAAUAGUUUUUCAUCUUAUAAUCGGAAUCUAUUGUGCAUAGUGUAUGAAUAGCUUAAAGAGGGAGAACUAAGGCCGAAUUCAAUAGAAGUUUCAACAAUUCAUCAACUUUAGUAAGCAUAAUACAAAUUCUAAGUCAAGUGAAAAACAAAAAUUCAAUUUCUCCCAUUUUAAUUUGAAUUUUUUUCCUUAAUAACCAUGGAGAGUAGAAUAAAAAACUUUAAAAAAUUUGAAAAUUAAACAAAAAUGAACUAAAUUACCAAAAUAACUUAGCAUAAAUAACAAAAAACUUCUUUCCUCAACUCUCCCCCUAACCAAGUUGAACAUUGUCCUCAAUGUGGCAUGAGCGAUUGAGAUUAUAGGGAGGAAGUGGUAUCUCCUGAGUGAUAUCAAUUUCGAGUAUUGAUUGGAGAAACCACAUGUUUCAAAAAGAAUAAAAGAUAUGAGUAGAGGAAAUAAGAAUAAAAUAAUGCUAAGAGUGAUAAAAAAGUGAUAGAUUUGUAUUACUUUAAUUCAUGUGAGUACAAAAUGAAAACAAGUAAUACAAAUAAUCCCAACAUAUAUAAAACCAAAAGCAUGGGAUUUCAUAAAGGACAUACAUAAACGAAAUACAUAAUCGAAAUGGAUAUAAAAUAAACUAUCAAAAUGAUCAAAUGGUGGGUGGAUGAUGUUGUGGAGAUGAUGGCUCAACUGUCUCUGCUUCACCUGUAGGAGGCUCCUCAGGAGGCAUAGUCUCAUGCAUGAAAGGAGGGGCCUGUGCUGGCUAUGAUGGGCUAGGAGUGGCAUGCUUAGGAGCUAAUAUAAUGCCAAGAUGAUGCUGAAUCUGCCUCAAGAUGGCAGUGUGCUGGGCCUGAGUGGCAACAAUCUACUCCUGAUGAGCACGAAGGGUUGUGAUCUGCUGAGUGAGGAUGCUAUGAGAAGUAGCCAAUGCCUGAAAAGUGUGGCAUAGGCCUCUAUACUCGAUAAUGGGUAUAGCUAUCCUUGGCUCAGCUGAAGGAGAUGGCUCUGAUGUGGGUGGAAUAAUAGGGGGAGGUUGUGGUGUGACCUGAGGAGUAGAGGGUGAAACCUCUGGUGUAGGCUCACUAGAGGCCACUGCAGGGGCAGGUGGCUGAGUGUCAGCAAGUAUGCCAACUGGCUACUCUAGAUGCUCUAGUCCAACUGGUUCUCCCUGGUCUGCACCACCAUAAGCUGUCAUACUGGUCCAUUUGUCGAGAGUGAAAAUCUCUCGACAAAUACGUCUACGCUCAUGUUGAGGCUCUACUGGGUAUCCCAGGUGCUCCAAUAUCUGGCAUAAUAGUCUGGGGAAGAGAAGUGGAAUGGCAUCUGCUCGGAGCAGCUUCUUUCAAUGCACCUUCUCUUCAAAGUAUAGAAGAACAGCCAUGAUGAGAUGGUGAGGGCCAAAGAAGUAUCCCUUAGAGAUCCUAUACAAUGCCUCUUGCAACAUUCCUCUCCUCUGCACCUAAUGCUGAAGUGGGAAACUGUUAUGGCGAAGGGGUGCAUCAAUGAAGAACAUGCUGGGGGGAAGCUCCUUCCUCAGGAUGUAAUGGCGUGAGGAUGCCCCUCUGGACAGAGUAUAAACGAUGUCACUCUAUGAAAGGUGAGUCCAGGCUUGAAAAUCGUUUGGACGUGCUGGCUCAUAGGGGAUAUGGAGUGCCUCUGCUAUAUGUUGAGCUCCCAAAAUACCAUGUCGUCCGUCUAUGGUAAAAUGGAUGACUGUAGGAUCUCGGACCUGGUUUGUAGUCAUGGACUGAUAGAAGUCCAAUGCCACACGGGGAUAGAAAAAAUCCCUGGGAGUCAGCAAAUGCUCCAUAUGAUACCUCUGUAGCAAACGAAAGGACUCCUUGAGCUCAGGCUGAAUUCUGAAAGUAGCUAUGUCGAAACAGAGCUCGGAGUGGAAUGGCCUUGCUCUGCAAUCCAGAUUUCCUUCAAUUGGUGGUUGUGUGACCAUGGGGCGUCUGAUAGCUACCUCAGGAGUCAUGCCUGAGGGAAUUUGAGAUUCUCUUGCUGGUGUCUAAGAUGGCUGAGGCUUCUUGGCAGGUGGUGGAGACUUUUUGGCAGGCGGUGGAGAUGGCGUAGGCUCUGAUUCAGGCUUUGAAGAUGACUAUGUCAGAUCAAUUGGCUUAGAGACCUUGGCUUUCUUCUUUGGGGGAUCGGUACCUGAUUUUUGGCCUUUGGAAGAGCUCGCACCGGCGAUGGUAAGUGAUCUUCUUGUAUUAUAGCGCCUAGGCGGAGGACUGAUAGGUGCUUCCUGGACCGGAGGUGGGACGAGGCGAGGUCAUGGCGGCUUGGAGGUGGAACCUUGGAUAGGCGCAUCUCUCAGGAUUCUCAGGCGAGUCGAUGGGGACGAAGACAUAUCUCCUCGUGUUCUGGCUAUGGCGGUGUCAGCAAAAACGGCUGGAGAUGCGCGUGGCUUGCUCAGGCAGAGAAGGCAGAUGGGAGGGUGCUCUGGCUUGGAUCCUCUUGGUACCUUUUUGAAGUUCAAAUGACGGUUUAGAAUAGGAAAAAUGGAAUUUAUACCGUUUAAAAGGGACACCAAGGGUCACUGUUCCUUUUCGCAGCAGACGGGACUUUUCGCAGCGAGGAGGCGUGGAUUUUGCAGCGACUGGGCGUUUUCGCAGUGAGAGGAAUUUCUGCAUCAUUUUCGCAGCCCAUUUCGCAGCUGCGAAACGGGCGUACGGCGCUGCGAAGUGGCACUUGUGUGCCAAAGGGUGGUUUCAUAGCUGUGAAACACCAUUCGAAAUGGCAUCUCGGCUGCGAAGUGGAGGAUUUCACGGCAUGGAGAUUUCGCAACCAUUUCGUAGCUGCGAAACGGGUGUACUUGGUUGCGAAAUGGCAUUAUGAGAAAGCAUAUAAAUGUCAAAAAAAUUGGUGCCAACAGGAGUUCAGGUGUCUUGGAAUUAAUUCAUACUAAUAUUUGUGGUCAUGCCCUACGGCUUCUUGGAAUGGUCAAUAGUAUUUUAUUACUUUCAUAAAUAAUUAUUCUCGUUAUGGGUACCUAUAUUUGAUUUAAGAGAAAUCUCAACCAUUGGACAUUUUCAAAUCUUAUAAAGUUGAAGUUGAAAAUCAACUUGGAAAGAAAAUUAAAGUCGUUAAAUCAAAUAAUUAUUCUCGUUAUGGUACUAUGGUAGAUAUGAUGGAUCGGGUGAACAACGUCUAGGACCUUUUGCGAGAUACUUACAGGAAUGUAACGUUGUUCCUCAGUACACCAUGCCAAGGACUCCAAAUCAAAAUGGUGUAUCUUAGAGACGAAAUCGGACCCUGAAGGAUAUGGUAAGAAGUAUGAUAAAUCAUUCUUCUUUGUCAGAAUCACUUUGGGGAGAAGCCAUAAAAAUUGCAGUUUAUAUCCUUAAUCGAGUUCUAAGCAAAGCAGUAGCUAAAACCCCAUAUGAACUAUAGACUAGAAAGAAGUCUAGUAUUAGGCCUCUUCAUGUUUGGGGUUGUUUAGAUGAGGCAAGGCCAUAUAGGCCUAAUGAAAGAAAACUAGACUCAAGAACAGUAAGCUGCUACUUUGUUAAAUACUUAGAAAGGUCAAGUGGUUUUAAGUUUUAUGAGCCAUUGAGAAAAAUCCUUUUUUGUGACAGGCAAUGCUAAAUUCAUCGAGUAUGUUGAAUAUGGUAGGAUUAUUGGACUUAGGAGCUUUGUCUUUGAAGAGGAAUAUGUUAUUAUUCCUACAGUUGCAACUAAAAAUGAUUAGAUAACUAUGUUUGACAUUAUUCAGGAUGCAUAUCAAGAAAAUCUAGACACUCUUGAGUUACCUCUUACUCAUAAUGAAGAACCCUCUCCUAUUCAUGAGAAGGAACAAUAACAACCUCAAUUGGAAGUGCCAUUAAGGAGAUCUACUAGGGAGAGAAGAAUGGCGAUUCCAGAUGAUUACAUCGUGUAUCUCCAAGAGCAUGAGUUUGAUACGGGACUAAAAGAUGAUCCAAUAUCUUUCAGUCUAGCCAAACAAAGUGUAAACUCCUAAAAAUGGAUAGAAGCCAUGAACAAUGAGAUGAAAUCAAUGAAAGACAAUGAUGUUUGGGAUCUUUUCAAAUUGUCUGAAUGAGCAAAACCGAUUGGUUGUAAAUGGAUUUAUAAAACCAAGCAAGAUUCAAAAAUCAAUGUUGAAAAAUAUAAGGCACAUAUAGUCACCAAAAUUUUCACUCAAAAGGAAAGGAUUGAUUAUAAAGAGGCUUUCUCUCCAGUUUCAACGAAAGACUCUUUUAGAAUCAUUAUGGCACUUAUAGCUCAUUAUGAUUUGAAGUUACAUUAUAUGGAUGUGAAGACUAUGUUUCUCAAUGGUGACAUUGAAGAAACCAUAUACUUGGUGCAACCAGAGAUUUUUUUAAUCCAAAGAGUCAAAAAAUCAGGUAUGCAAAUUAAAGAAAUCCAUUUACGAUUUGAAACAAGCAUCUUGUCAAUGGUAUCGAAAAUUUGAUCAAGUGAUUACGUCUUUUGGUUUUAAGGAAAACACAGUUGAUCAAUGUAUUUAUCAAAAGAUCAAUGGGAGUAAAUUUAUUCUUCUGGUGUUAUAUGUCGAUGAUAUUCUGCUAGCAAGCAACGAUAUAGGUCUGUUGCAUGAAACUAAGAGAUUUCUUUCAAAUAAUUUUGAAAUGAAAGAUCUUGUUAAUGCAUCCUUUGUGUUGAGCAUAUAGAUUUAUUGAGAUUAUUCUCGUGGUAUUCUUUGCUUAUCACUAAAGGCAUAUAUUGAUAAAGUGCUUAGUAGAUUUGGCAUGAAGGAUUGUGCACCAGGAGAUACCCCCAUUGCUAAGGGUAAUAAAUUCAAUUUGCUUCAAUGCCCAAAGAAUGAAAUCUCGAAAAAAAAAAAAGACGGAAAACAUCCUUUAUGCAUCAACAAUAGGGUGUCUCAUGUAUGCUCAAGUUUGUACACAUCCAGAUAUUGCGUAUGUAGUUGGUAUGCUUAGCAUAUAUUUAAGUAACCCAGGAAUGGUCCAUUGGAAGGCAACAAAAUGAGUCAUGUGGUAUUUGCAAAGAACAAAAGAUUUCAUGCUCACAUAUCAGAGAUUUGAUCAUUUAAAGAUCAUAGGGUAUUUCGACUCCGACUUUGUUGGCUACAUUGAUAGUAGAAGAUCCACUUCUAUAUGUUUUUAGGUUGGCUAAAGGAGCUAUCUCAUGGAAGAGUGUUAAGCAAUCACUCAUAGUUACUUCCACCAUGGAAGCAAAAUUUAUAGCUUAUUAUGAGACAUCGAACCAAGUAAUAUGGCUGCGGAAUUUUAUCACUGGAUUGCGUUUUGUUGAUGGCAUUGAGAGACCAUUAAGGAUAAACUAUGAUAACAAAGUUGCAAAAUUAUAUUCUAAGAAGAAUAAAAGCUCAUCAAAAUCAAAGCAUAUUAACUUCAAGUUUCUAGUUGUUAAGGAGAGAGUUCAGAGUUUUCAAGUGUCUAUUGAACAUACUAGUACAAACUUCAUGAUUGCGGAUUCGCUUACCAAAGGUGUACCACCUAAAGUGUUUCAUGAGCAUGUGGCUCGUAUGGGUGUGGUUCAUCUUGGUGAUAUGCUUGUGUAGUGGGAGUUUGUUAAUUGAUGUUCACUAGUUAAUAACAUGUUUUUCUAAUUAGACUUAAGUAUUUUUCUUGUUUUGCUUAUUGAAAACUCUAAAAUAAAGUUAUAUUCUUUCAAUUGAAGUUUUGCAUAAAGUUUGAAAGUAUGUUGAACUUUGUUAAGUUAUAAAGUUGAACCAGUUGGAAAUAGGCAUUAUACGGGAUCACAUUACGUUAAUUUUCCAUGCUACACAUCCAUACUUGAUCUAUGUUGUUGAUUGUAUUAAUGUGGUGAUCAUUGAUGGGUCUAGUUAUGAAACAUGUAACGAAGAUCGUCUUGGUUCUAUAUUGGUAUAAUUGAUGGACCAGAUUGUUUUGAGAUGAUUACAAUUAAGAUAGCAAAUAUUGAGCUCAUUUUUGUCAUGAUCAAUUGUUUAAUGACAUGUGGCCCAAGUGGAAGAUUGUUGGAUAUUUUGGUAAUUAUGGGCCUACAUACUAACACAUUGUUCCUUAAGUUAUCUUAUUUUUUGAAAUUACCAAAGCAUUUUGGAAUGCUCCCUGAGAGGCUGUUGUUUGCAAGGUCUAAGACUUGAAGGGACUCAAGGUGACAGGAUUCCAUAGGAAUACUCCCAGUAAAUUUAUUUGAUCGUAGGGUAAGAACCAUAAGACAGAUUCUUCCCCACCCACAUCAGUAUGCUUCCAGAGAAUUCAUUCUCACUGAGGUCUACAGAUGAUAAACUUUUGCAACCUUGCAUGGAAGGCGGUAAAGUACCAGAGAGACUGUUGUUGUGCAAGUGCAAUGAUCUUAGCUGAAGUAGGGAACCCAUCGAGUUCGGUAGAUGUCCAGUCAGAAUAUUAUUCUGUGAUCUCAACACCAUAAGUAGUGUCCAGGACGCCCAACAGUCAGGAAGUUCUCCAGAUAGAAUGUUUCCGGAGAGGUCUAAAGACCACAAAAUGUUCUCUUCAUUGUUCUGUUGACACAAGAUGGGUGAAAGGGAUCCAUUAAAGGAGUUAUGGGAAAGAUCUAAUGAAAAUGUCUUGGAAGAGAUACGGGGCAGUGGGCCAGUGAAUUUGUUUGAACAAAGAUAGAUCUGAUAUGCAGUUGGUAAGCUUGGAACAGUGCCAUAGAUCCGGUUGUCCGCUAGGUUUAUGUAGUCAAGAUUGAGACUCCAGAACCAAGAUGGGAUGACAUCUUUGAUUCACACUCUGGAUAUGUCUAGAUCCAUCUGAUCCUUUUGCGUUUGCAGCCAUGCAGUAAAUAAAGGCCCCAACUGCCAAUAUCCCAUUUUCAAAAUUUCUAGUUGGAAUGGAGGAUUCCAGUCAGAACCUACUUGCAAUGUAAACGAGUUUGAAGAAGCAUGUAAAUAUUUCAACCUUGUCAAAUUAGCGAAGUGCUUUCCAGACACUAUACCCUUCAGAGAAUUCCCGGACAUAUCUAAGUAACUCAAGGAUGACGAGCCUCUUACAGAUACAGAUGUUGGUCCAGAAGAUGAACUAUUCCCAUCAGAAAGAACUGAUAAGCAUUUCGAAAAAUGACCUGAAACUUCAUCUGCUCCAAGGUCUAGAAACUCUAAACCUUUGACAAGUUUAUUAGAUGACAAAUCUAGCCUUUGUAGAUUGCAAUGUUCUCCCAAUGAUCUUGGGAUUUCCCCUUCAAGGGCAUUGUUUGACAGGUCUACAGCUACAAGUGAAGUAAGGUUUCUGAUGGAAACAGGAAGGAUUCCAUUAAAAUUGUUUGAUAAAAAGUCAGAUACUUUCAAGGCUAGUUAGGUGACUCAAGCGAUCAGGUAUAGUAGAAGUGAAGCUGUUAUUGAAAAGAUGAAGGGAUCUUAGAGCAGUUAAGUUGCAAAGAGUGGUAGGAAUUGGUCCAUGGAAGUUAUUGGAACUUAGAUCAAGUGAAGCAAGUGAUCCAAGGCUAGAAAACCAGUCAAAUGUUGGAGAAACAAAUUGAUUCUCUGAGAGGUCAAGGACAGUGAGAGACGAAAAAUUCACAACUGGAAGAGGAUUGAUGCUAUCGAGCCCACAGUCAGACAAGAUUAGAACUGACAAAGAAUGGAGCGUAUUCAUUGCUUGUAGCCAAUUAGACGCUUUGUUUAGGUCCACCCAGCUCAUGUCAAGAACUUCAAGGACGGAAAGAGAAGAGAUCCAGUCAAGGUUCUUGGUAUCUAGAGAAAUGCCUCCAAUAUCAAGAUACUGUAAGCUCGACUGUUUUCCAAGUUGACGAGGAACAUCACCAGUCAAACCUGCAUUGGAGAGAUUAAGAUACCUUAAACCUGUCAGGGAACCAAGGAAUUCUGGAAUCUGGAGUCCUUCAAAGCUGUUCCAACUGAGGUCGAGGUACUGAAGAUGGUUCAGGUCCAACAAAGAAGUACUUAUAUCCCCACCCAAGGAAGCUCCUUCCAUGGGCUCACAACUGAGGUUGAUCUUGACAACAUGCCUAGUUAUGUUGUCACAGCCAAUGCCUUUCCAUGAACAGCAGGCUUCACGGGUCCAUGAAGAGAGGUAGUUUCCCUGAUCCACAAGGCCUUGUUUGAUUCUCUGGAGUGCUCUUCUUUCUCUUGCACUGCAGAUGACAUCUGAAGUUCCGUCACUCAAACUAAACUGGAUGGUUAUAGUUGCUAAGGACAGAAACCAAAGCCACAGAACCACCACAUCUCCAAUACUUUUCCUCUCCAUAGAACUAUUUCUGCAACAGAUGAAUCGACAAGGAAAUUUUCCAAUGGUGUGUUGUAGGAAGCAAGGGCUUAGGCUAUAUACUUAUAGUGAUACCAGGAAUAAAGAAAUCUGCCAUAAGCCUGACCUUAAUGUGUAUUUCAUGGAUCAAAACUUUCAUAUUCUGAAUUAACUGAUUUAUUUUUCUUUCUGUCAAUGUGCCUUUAUCAAUUGUUACUCAUAGCCGGUCUCAAAGAAACUUUCAGAGUCUUUGCCAUUGUUAAUCCUUCAAUCUGGCAUUAUGAUUAAUUUCCUUCUUUGACAAGCAAUCAUUACAAAGGUUUGAACCAAGGUAUAAUUAAAAGUUUGAAGGAUUCUAAAUCCUAUUCGAGAGUAGCUACCACAAACCAUGAUAAUCAACUUUGUGGAAACUGAAUGGAGUGAACUGCAGUGAGGUUACAAAGUACUAAGUCCAAGUUGAAGCCACAAAUAGAUAAUAAAUGGUAAAUCAAAGACUAGAGAAUGGAGUCAAGAUGAUAAGAUUGAAUAUGCGAGCAGUUGAAAUAAAUAUGAAUAUUGAUAAAGGAAACUCCAACUCAGCCAGCAUACAAUCCAUGCCAAAGUAGAAUCUCUACAUGAGAAGUAGAUAAUGCAAUCUGCCAGGAAGGAAAACUACUCUCCAUAUUUGUAAUGUGGAAAAUCAAGGAUGGAAGGAAAUCUUCACUUACCUGUUCUGUAUAAUAUUCCCUCUUCUGUGUAAAGAAAGUAGGUAUUGUUUUUAUUUUAUUUUUUUCAACGUUGUAACAAUAUACGUAAGAAAAGAAAACAAUCAGCAAAUUAUCAUUGUGGAAGUUGCUUGAAAAUGCUGAACUCAGAUACUUCAACCGUGGAUCUUGGAUUUUUCCUUGUUUGUAAAAAAGAAAACUCCAUUAAAUAUAAGAACAACAACAAUUACAAUAGAAAGGAAUCCAUUGAAAAAGGAGCUGAGCUACACCCACUUUUGGUUGCCAAGAAAAUUGAGUAAAGGUUAGGAAAGAAAAUAAAACUUUUAAAUCAAGGAACCACUUGGGAUGGGUGUCAUCUAGGAAGAAAGAAACAAGGAAAGUAGGACUUUUUAAGGGGCUUUUUGCGAUUACUCAAAAUUUUAUUUCACAGAUUUACAUUAAUGGCAUGAGAUCUGUUUGCAAUGAAUAACAUUUCUCUUAAUCAGAUGUGUUAAGACUGACAUUUCUAUCCAGAUAUUUAUUUUUUCACAUCUAUUGAGUAAUGAAAACUCCAUGUUAGAUUUAUCUGAGCAACCAAAAUGAAAAGUCACAACGGGAAAAUUAGGAUAUGAGUGGAAGAAAACUACCAAAUACUAUUUAUAAUACCACGGAAACAAGGUCUUAAAACUAUCUGUAUUUACAACCAUCCCAAUAAUUUGGAUUUCAUAUCAUCUAACAAUUGAAAAUCAAGUAUGACCCAAAACAGGCCAAAAACCCACCACAGACCCCAAUGGCAUGCUCAGAUAGAACCACUUCAUUUCGAUCCAUUCAUCAUCUUCAUUAACAUUGCCCGAUAUUUGGCUUUGUUGUGCAUAAUCUCCAGCACAAGCAUCUGAAAGAGGAGCCCAGAGCCCAUCAUUGCCAAUGAAAUUGCUAGGAUUAAAGCUUUUGAUUUGUGUUCCAGAUGACAAUCAUCCACAAUAUAAUUAUAUAACAUCCUUUACUCGUGAGUAUAGAUAUGUUGAAAACUGAUAAAUUCAAACUACGGAUAAUUAAAAAACAUGGAUGGAAGAAACUCAUAAAAGUGCUAUUGAUCACACAUGGAAAAGAAGGUUGCCAAAUUUAUUUACAAUUAUUAACACCAUCCUAGUAGUUUAUACUUCAUGUCAUCCAAGAACUGAAAAUAAGCAUAUCUCCAAGCUCUGUUGAAUGCUAAUGGAGCCAAAAUGGCCCAAAAGCCAACCACGAAACCCCAUGGCAUACCCAAAUAGAACCAUUUUAUAUCAAUCCAUCCAUUGUCCUCUUCAUCAUCAUCGUCUGGAACUGGACCCUUUGGCUUACCAUCUUCACCACAACCAUCAGUCAAUGGAGCUCCACAAAGCUUCGGGUUGCCAAUAAAACUGAGGGGACUAAAGCCUUGGAUCUGGGUGCCUGAUGGAAUUUUGCCAGAGAAGUUGUUGUCUGACAAAUUUAAAUGGCUCAAAAAUGAUAUGUUUGCCAUACCUUGAGGAAUAACACCAGAAAGUCUAUUCAUGGAGAGAUCAAGAGACUCCAGUGAUGUCAAGGCCCCAAUCUUCAUAGGAAUCUUCCCUUGGAGAUGGUUAUUAGACAGGUUCAAGAAUAUCAAUCCAUGGAGACCUGUGAGUUCUUCUGAGAUCUCACCAGAGAACUUAUUCCUUGAGAGGUCUAUGCCAACUAGGAGGCCAAGAGUGUUGCCUACUCCUUUCAUAACCAGCGUUGCUGUGUCGGUUGAUUCCGAAUCAAAAUGACGUGCAUUAUGAAAAGGAAAGGGGGAACUUGAAUUUGAUUGUUUGAUCAUGCUGCUGAAAUUACCAAAGCAUCUGGGAAUGGUUCCAGAGAGAUUGUUGUUUCCCAAGUCCAGGAUUUGAAGGGAAUCAAGGUGGCAGAGUUCAAGAGGAAUACUUCCUUUGAACUUAUUCGAAUGAAGGACAAGAACCAUUAGACCCGAUGUAUAUCUAAUCUCACCAUCCCCUGGUAAUGUUUCAAUGAACUUUCCAUCGAAGUUCCCCAUCCAUGCAGGUAUGGUCCCAGUGAAUUCAUUCUCACCAAGGUCUAGAACCACUAGACUAGAGCAAUUUUUCAAUGGAAGUGGAAAAUUUCUGGAGAGAUGGUUGUUGCGCAAGUGCAAUGAACCGAGCCAAAUUAGAGAACCCAUGGAGCUAGGUAUAUGUCCCGUCAGAUUAUUAUUUCCCAAUUUUAACCUCAUUAAUUCUCUCCAAUACAUCCAACAAUUGGGAAGUUCUCCUGACAGAAGAUUUCCUGAGAUGUCUAGAGACUCCAAUAAAUUUACUUCUUUAUCAGUUCUCCGACACAACAUGGAUGAAAGAGAUCCACAGAAUAAAUUAUUGGAGAGGUCUAGUUCUGCUACAUCAGAAGAGAUUUGGGGCAGUGGACCAGUGAAAUUGUUUGAGCCCAGAUAGAUAUCGAAUGAAUGUAAACUUGGAAUAUUUCCAAUGAUUUGGUUGUGAGAUAGAUCUACACUAAGAUAGGAUUGUGUCCAAAACCAAGCUGGGAUGACACUGGAGAUUCCUGCAUAGGACAUGUUUAGAUCUCACAAAUACUUCUUGUUGAAACCACUUUAUAAAAGAGACACACAGAGGAGGAAAGAAAUUUUUUUUUAUUGAUAUGGUGAUAUUUUUAAACUUCACCUGAUACAAGCCUUUUAUAGGCAAAACCAUCAACAAAAAUAGAAAUACUAAAAAAUAGGAAUAGAAAGAUAACCAGUCACUCUAAAUGUGCUGCAACGACCUCCCUAAGACUCGGACAAUUCCUAAUUUAUUGAAAAACUAAACAGAGGCAUAUUUUUGACACAAACAAACUUGACUUGUUCAAUACAUCCUCUCAGUCACAUGCUGAUGUUGAUAACUUUAACACUCUCCCUCAACAUCAGCUUCCAAAAUCUUUACCAUACCGAGCUGAUGACAAAAGCAUUCAAACUUGCUACCACUCAAACCUUUUGUGAAUAAGUCUGCAACUUGGUCUUUUGACUUAAUCUGCUUCAGCUCAACCUCUUCUUCCAGGACCUUUUCCCUGAUAAAAUGAUAAUGCACUUCCACAUGUUUUGUUCUUGCAUGAAAGACUGGAUUCUCCGCCAAACGAACUGCCGACUGGUUGUCACAGUACAAUGGAACUGCAUAGUCCACUAGUUGAUGUAGAUCAUUCAUCAGCCGUAUAAGCCACGUACUUUCUUGAGCUGCCAUUGCUGCUGCUCGGUACUCUGCCUCCGUUGUUAACAGAGAUACUGUCGGUUGUCUCUUGCUACACCAAGAAAUUGCUCCUGAUCCAAGCAUAAACACAUACCCGGUAGUGGAUCUGCGGGUGUCGUGAUCUCCUGCAUAAUCAGCAUCACAGUAGCCAACUAGCUUGCAAUCUUCACCUUUCUUGUACAACAGACCAUAAUCAAUUGUACCCUUCACAUGUCUCAAAAUUCGUCGAACUGCUUCCAAAUGAGGCUUCUUUGGAUUUUGCAUGUAUCGACUCAUCACACCAACUGCAUAAGAGAUAUCGGGUCUAGUUAAAGUUAAGUAAACCAAACUACCCACCAAUUGUCGAUACAUUGUUGCAUCUUUCAAGUCUUUGCCUUCGUGUUCACACAUCUUGGCAUUUGGUUCCAUUGGUGUUGAGAUCGACUUACAUUCGAGCAUCCCGAACUUUUUCAACAAAUCUUUAGCAUAUUUUUGUUGACAGAGAAAUAUCCCUUCGUGUGUACAAUCCACCUCUAGCCCAAGAAAGUGCUUAAGUUGUCCAAGUUCUUUCAUCUCGAAACGAACUGACAAGUUCUCCUCUGUUCGGAAAAUUUCUUCAACAUCAUCUCUAGUGAUGAUUAGAUCAUCUACGUAUACAAGUACAAUAACUAACUUUCCUCCAUUAGCUUUGACAAACAAGCUAGAAUCUGCAGGUGUUACUGAAUACCCACUUUAAGUUAGAAAUUUAGCAAUCUUACCAUACCAUGCUCUGGGUGCUUGUUUCAAUCCGUAGAGUGCCUUCCGCAGCUUACAUACAUAUUCAGGAUGACCUUGACUCUGAAAGCCUAUCGGUUGAUUCAUAUAGAUCUCCCGAUCCAACUCUCCAUGCAAGAAUGCAUUCUUCACAUCCAUCUGCCACAAGUCCCAAUCUUUGUUAGCUGCAAGUGCAAGUAAGACUCGUACAGUUGUAAGUUUUGCAACUGGACUAAACGUUUCAUCAAUCUAGUCCAUAUUGUUGAGAGAAUCCUCGAGCUACCAAACGAGCCUUGUGCCUUUCUAUUGAUCCAUCUGUGCGACGUUUUAUCUUAUAAACCCAUUUGCAGGAAAUAGGCUCUACAUCUCUUGGCUUUGGCACGAGCUCCCAAGUCUGAUUUUGUUUUAAUGCUGCAAUUUCCUCUUUUAUAGCUUUAGUCCAGUCUGGAUUCUGAAAUGCUUCUGCAAAUGUCUCUGGUUCUUUUGCGUUUGCAUCUUCAACUAUGGCAACAUUGGCAUAUUUGGGAUUUGGCUUCUUGGUUCUUGCUGAUCUUCUAAGUGGAAUUGGUGCUUCUGUUUCACUAGGCUCACCUUCUUCGCUUGGUUGUCCAUGCACACCAGUUUGCCAAGGACUUUGAGUUUCGUCAUCUUCGAUAUCACCAUCGGCUACAUUUUCAGCUUCACCUAAGCUUAGUUGGAUUUAAGCAGAUUGCAACUCAUCCUUAAAAACAUCUGAAUCUGGUAAUAUUUCCUUUUCUGAGGACCACCGUGAAGAUGAUUCAUCAAACACCACAUUUUGGGAUGUGUAACACUUUCCAGUUGUAGGAUCGCAGCAUCUCUAUCCCUUUCGUUGACUAUCGUAUCCUACUAAGACACACCUAACAGCCUUCUUGUCCAUCUUGCUGCGUAGAUGAUUAGGUACAAAGACAUAGCAAACACAUCCGAAAACUCGAAAAUAACUAACUGUAGGCUUUAUGUUCCACAAUUUUUUAAAGGGUGAUGAAAAAUUUAACCUUUGUCGAGGAAGCCUAUUGAUCACGAAAGCUGCAAUCUUCAUUGCUUCUACCCAAAACCGUCCUGGAACAUUCUUUGCAUGAAGCAUACUUCUACAGAUUUAUGCUAGGUGCCUGUUCUUUCUUUCUGCUACGCCGUUUUGCUGCAGAGUGUUGGCACAUGUGAACUGAUGGCGUACUUGGCAUUCUCGGAGGAAUUAAAAAAACUCAUCUGAGGUAUACUCUCUCCCCCAUUAUCAGUACGCAGACAAUGGAUUCUUUUAUCAACCUCUACUUCCGUCAUUUCCUUGAAUUCUUUAAACUUUGAGAAAGUUUCAGAUUUUUCUUUCAUAAAGUACACCCACACGUACUUGGAAAAAUCAUCAAUAAACGUCACCAUGUAUUUCAUCCCACUAAGAGAGGCUUGCUUAACAGGUCCAAACACAUCAGAGUGAAUUAGCUCUAAUGGCCCCUUUGCUUUCCAUUUUGACUCUUCAUACGACAAUUAAUGCGCUCUGCCGUACUGACAUCCUGCGCAGAUUGUAUCUUUUCUCAUUUCAAGUUCUGGAAGUCCCUUCAGCAUUGACUUUUUCAUCAUCACAGUUAGUUUGGAAUAACUAAUGUGACUUAAUCGCAUAUGCCAUAAAUUGAUUGUCUCGUUCUUUCUGGUCUUGUUUACAUAUGCGGUUUCUGCAGACAUCACAUAGACUGACUCUAGUCUCCGUCCCUUUAUCACCGACUCUUCCAUAAUCUCAAGGUCACGAUAAACUUUCACAUCUUGAGGGCCAAAUAGAACAAAAUGGCCUGAAGACGUUAAUUGUGCUACCGAGAGAAGAUUUUUCUUCAUACCUGGGACGUGAUAGACAUUUUGAAGUUACACAUCAUUAAUAUUAUAUUGGGAAGAGACUACUGUAUUACCAAUGUGAGCUAUUGGUAGUUUUGAGUUGUUCACUGUGACUACCAUAUGUCUUCCCUUGUACUCCGAAAAAUCCUGCAGCUUUUCUUUAUCACCCGUCAUAUGAUUUGAGCAGCCUGAGUCAAUGAUCCAAUCCUUCUCAUAAUCAAUUUGUUCAGACGUUGUUGCUAUAAAAGCUGAUUCUCCUGUUGCAGCAAAAAAUGCCUGAGUGUCCCACUCAUCUUUGCUUUUGGAAGUAGUAGCAUUAUUUUCCACAAGCCCUUUUUUCGACCAACAAUCUUUUGCCAUGUAACCCUUCUUUCUGCAAUUGUAGCACCUCCCUUGAAAUUUUUUUCUGGUGCCAAGAUUCUUCGAAUCUCCCUUAACACGAGCGCUCCUUUCACCUUGACUACUUUUUGCCUUGUCCUCAUUCUUUUUAGUUCUGCCAACGGUGUGCUGCUUGGAAUUCCACCUGCCUUUGUGGGCAUAAAGCGCUUUCUCUUCACCCUUGAGUGAAACUCCUCCCAUUUGUUUAGCUAAGGCUUCUUGACCAGCAAGCAAAUUCUCAAACUCAACAAGUGAUGGUUGAUUUUUCCAUCCCUGUACAGCAGCAACAAAACCUCUUAAUUCUGGUCUCAAACCAUGGAUGAUUAUUCUCUUCAUCCUGGUUUCACCGAUUGGGGCUUCUAGAUCCAACUCGAAAAUUUCCCGGCAUAACGUCUUCACCUUGUGAAAGUACUGAGCGAUCGUCAAGUUACACUGUGCUACCAACAACAACUCGCUCUCUAGAAGUUGGAGCCUUGUGUCAUUCUUCUUUGAGAACAGCUUGGUGAACGUAUUCCAAGCUUCGUAAGGGGUUUUGGCAUCUCGAAUGUGCUCUAGCACAUCUUCUUCGAUCGUUGUCUUCAAAGCAAACAUCGCUUUGCCCGCUUUUAUCUUCCAUUUCCGCAGUAUACCAUUCGCAUCCUCAGCCUCCGGUUGAGUAAUUUCGCUUCCUUUCACAACCUCCCACAAGUCUUGGCCUUACAUGUACGACAUCAUGCAUGUUGACCAAGUAUUGUAAUUUAAGUUGUUGAGCUUUUUUAUUCCGCCAAUGACUUGAAGAUCACCCAUUUCACUCUCUCUUUUCCUCACGUGUUUGACUCUCAAACACUCUCUAAAAUCCCUCUUCAACCUGGCUCUGAUACCAAAUGUUGAAACCACUUUAUAAAAGAGACACACAGAGGAGGAAAGAAAUUUUUUUUUAUUGAUAUGGUGAUAUUUUUAAACUUCACCUGAUACAAGCCUUUUAUAGGCAAAACCAUCAACAGAAAUAGAAAUACUAAAAAAUAGGAAUAGAAAGAUAACCAGUCACUCUAAACGUGCUGCAACGACCUCCCUAAGACUCGGACAAUUCCUAAUUUAUUGAAAAACUAAACAGAGGCAUAUUUUUGACACAAAAACAAACUUGACUUGUUCAAUACAUCUUCUCAGUCACAUGCUGAUGUUGAUAACUUUCACACUUCUGUGUUUGAAGCCAUGCAGGAAAUUGAGGCCCUAGAAAGCAAGAACCCAAUUCUAAUCUUGUGAGUUGAAAGGGAGGAGUCCAGUUGGAGCUGACUUGCAAAGUUAACAGGUUUAAAGAUGCAUCCAAUUCUUCUAAACUUGUUAGAUUGGCAAGGUGCUUUUCAGACAUAAUACCGUUGAAGAAGUUUUCCCUAAUGUUUAGAUAACUUAGGGAUGAAAGUCCUCCUAACGAGAUAGGAAUCUGACUAGAAAACAAGUUUCCAUCAAUAGAAAGGUGCGAUAAACUUUUUAAUUGGCCAAGUUCACUGGGCAAAUGACCUGAAAGCCGAUUUUUUCCCAAGUCUAAAUGUUCUAAACAUUUACAUUCUCCAAGAGUUUCUGGAAAAGAACCUAAAAUUUUAUUUCCUCUAAACCUUAAAUGCUCUAGACCUUUUCCAGGCCUAUCAUAUGACAAAUUCGAAAGUUGGCCAGUACAAAGAUUUCCUAGAAAUCUCAGUAUGUCUCCUUCUAGAGAAUUGUAUGAUAAGUCAAGAUAUGUGAUAGAAGUGAGAUUUUCAAUAUCAUUUGGUAGCAUACUAUGAAAAUUGUUAGAUUCAAUAUCGAGGGAUGCAAGAUUGAGGUGGUUAUAUGAUAUAACCAAGCGGGAAUAGGAGAAGCAAAAUUGUUAUAGGAAAGAUCUAGGAAUCUAAGAGAAGUCCUGUUACAAAGACCUAAUGGAAUUGGACCAAGAAUAUUACUGGCUGCUAAAUUAAGAGUAACAAGAGAGUUAAGAUUAGAAAACCAAUCCAAUGAUGAAGAAAUAAAAUAAUUAUAUGAAAGGUCAAGGAUGACUAGAGAUGAAAAAUUGACAUGCGGGAGAGGGUCAAUACUAUGAAACUCACAAAAAGGCAAGCGCAACUUAGAUAAAGAAUGGAACUUAUUUGUUACCUGUAGACAAUUUGAUGCCUUUCUUAGGUUCACAUUUGACAUGUCAAGGAACUCUAGGAAGGUAAGACUAGAAAUCCAUUCAAGAUCCUCAGCAUUCAAAGAAUUUCUUGGGUCGUAAUAAGAAUUCCCAAUGUCAAUAUAAUGUAGCUUGGAUAAAUUUCCAUGUUGAUGAGGAAUAACACCACCAAACCUGCUGUAGAGAGGUUAAGAUAUCUUAAAUUGGAGAGGGAACCAAAGAAUUUUGGAAUAUUAUGGAUCCCAAAGUCAUUACAGCUUAGGUCCAAGUAUCAAAGAUGCUUCAAGUCCAACAAAGAACUACUUAUCUCACCACCCAGAGAACCGUGAUCUUGACAAAGAUCCCAUCGGGGGUUGAGCUUGAGAACAUGUCCUGUUGUGUUAUGACAAUGAAGUCCUUCCCAAUUACAACACUCUUCACUGGCCUAAGAAGAGAGUCUGUUUGAAGGAUCAUGAAUGCCUCUUUUGAAGCUCAAAAGGGCUUCUCUUUCUUCUUCUCUACAAAGAGCCUUUGGACUAUGCCCAACACAACAACCAAACUUUGUGGCUAUAGUGAAAAGAACAUAGAGCAAAAGAACGACCAAACCUCUCAUGUACAACUCCAUUAGGCUAGAUGAUUUUAGAGCACACAAUGUGAAGGGUUUCAAGGAUUAUCCAAUAUUUAUAGUCAUUAGAGGCAUGACCCCCAAGACUAUAGUGUUGCCUUAUUUUAAAAAUUUCUGAUGUUGAUAGGUCAAUUAUUGUGUUAAGAAAGGAUAGUUGUGGAGUGUGGACUAGUUGUAUAUAUGGAUAAGUUUCGUGGAAGAGAAAAUACAUGACAUGGCAUAGUUACACUUGCUGUGAUGUAAAUUUAGAAAAGUAUUUCCAUUUUCUGCAAUUUUAAGUAAAACCCAAUACUAUAUUAAAGAUGACAUAAUUAUAUAUUUUAUUAAAUAUAUAAUGCAGAUCCUGUCUCCAAUAACUUGCCUAUUGGAGUCCAUGCUAGCUUUGAUAUUUUUACAAACUAAAUAAUUUUUAUUUAAAGGGAAUCUUGUUACUAUUUUUAUUUUUAUCAUUUUUCAUGUUAUUCAAAUAUAUGCAAAUCAUUUUCUCUUAUAUUUUUCUCUUUUAUUUAAUUAGCAUGUUUUAGGAACCAAACAUCGUAUUUUGGUUCCUAAAACAAAGAAGAUUAAUAAUUUAAAAAAUAUUGUGACAUUUGAUGAUGGUUAAUAAUAUAUAGAUAUAUAUAAUUAAAUAUCAACAGUAAAAAAUUAAUAAGAAACAAAGAAGAUUAAAAAUACUUAUAUUUAUUUUGUGACAUUUCUAGAACGAAUUCUAAUAAAUGCUUUUGGAAUUUGAUCGAGAGACCAAGAUUUUAAACUUUGAGCGGAUGUAUAUAUAUAUAUAAGAAAUCUACAUUUGAAUUCUAACCGUGACAUUAAAUAAAAAAGUACAAGACAUUAGUUUUUAGAAAAUAUUGGAUGGGGAUGGUAGCGUGGCGACUUUAGGAUGGAUCAUCCCCAUCCUAAUCCUGUCUUGUUUAUUUAUAUCUAUUUCAACCCAUCCCCACCAAAAUAAAUAAAUUAAAGAGGGUAGUAAAUGAGAAAGUAUAAGAUAUUAGUUUCUAGAAACCAUUGGAUAGGUGUAUACCCUAAAAUUUGUCUCAAUUUUAUUUUUACAUUAAUUUUGAGUCCAAUUUUAUUCUUAGAUUUUAAAUCUCAAUUACAUGUGAUUUUUUUUACCCACUCACCAUUUAAUUCUUAGUUUUUUUUUAAUCUUGUAUAUUGUUUUAUUUUAUUUUAUUAUUAUUAUUUAUUGUAUUUAUUUAUUUAUUUUUCUCUUUCCUCUCUCCUCCACCUACUCUCACCUACCCCCCGUAUCUCCCCCAUUCCCAACACCACCGACCCCAUCUCAUUGUCCCUCUUUUUUUUUUUCCUUUUUUAUUUGAUUUCUUCUUCUUCUUUUCCAUUCUUCUUCAUCUUUUUCUCUCCCCCAACACCGUACUCACCGGCCACACAUCCACUAUCUCUCCUCUUCCCUCUUCUCUCUCUACUCAUUUCUCUUUUUUCCUUCUAGUUAUUUUUUCUUUCCAUCUUUUUCUGGUGGCCGGCUCCCCAUCAUUUGCUCUCUUCUUUUUUUUUUUCUUUUUUUCUUCCCUCUCCGUACUCCCACACAUGGUCGACCCCCAUUUUAUCUUCCAUUUUUUUUCUUCUCUCUACAACCCUUCCCAAACACUGCCCUGACACCGAUUUUCGAUGUCUCUUUCAUCCCUUCUUUUUUCCCAUUUUCUUCCUCCCAUUUUCCCAUUACCUUCAUUUUCUUUUUUUAUUUUAUUUUUGUUUUUCAAAAAGCCAUCAACCUUCAUUGUCGCUAGCAAAACCACCAGCCAGUCACCGCCGGUAAGCCACUACCAGCCGACGACCCCUUCCUCUUUUCUCUCAUUCCUUCACUUCGCAUCACAACCAUUUUACAUUGUUAUUAUUAUUAUCAUUAUUCAUUUUUUUAUUUGAUUUUAAUAGUAGUUGUUGUUGGUGAGAUUUGAAUUAUUGAAUUAAUAUGAAAUUUGAGUUUUGUUAAUUAAUAUGGAAUUUGAGUUAAUUUGUUAUUGGAUAAUUAAUAUGAAAUUUGGGUUCAUUUAUUGUUGGUGAAUUAAUUUGAAAUUUGUUAAUUUGGGCUAGAUUAGUAGAUAAUUUAUAUGGUUGUACUCAUUUGAAUUAUUUCAUUUAGAUAUGAUAUAAUAUUGUGGUAUAUUUUGGAUGUACGUUUGCAUAUUAAAUUGGGUUGAUUUUGGUUGUGGAUUUAGGUUUGCAUAUUAAAUUGGGUUUGGAUUAUGGGAUAUUAAAUUUAGGUAUAAUGUGAUUUAUUUUAAUUUAUCAUGUUUUGAGUUUGAUUAAUUGAGCUUAUAUUUUGGCUAUUAAUUUGAAAAUUUUAUAUUAGGGUCUAUGACAUGUGAGAUAUUUUUGUUGGAUUCUAUUUGUUAAUUUGGACCCAUUUUUAAUUAGUGAAAUUUAUUGGACUAAUUUGAAAUUUGAAUUUGAGCUAUUUUUGUUUUUGCAUGAGCCCAUUUUGCAAUUCUGUUGGCUGAAUAUGAAUUUAUGACACGUGGAGCAUGGAAUUUCAUAGAAGAAAGUGAGAUUCGAAAAGUUAUAGGAAGACAUUGAACUUGUUGUCAACUUAUUUGGAUACAUAUUUGAUUUUUCACUUAUAUUUGGUUUUAUUUCUAUUAGUUUCUGUAAAUAUUUAUUUAUGUAUGUUUACUUGUUAUGUACAGAAUUGAAUAUCGAACAAAUCAAAAAUUUUGUUUAAAUAAAAGGAAUAAUUCAAUAAAUGUUUUUUUAAUAAAAUAAUAAUUUUAAAAUAUUCUUCUUAAUAAAAGAAAGUUUUUUUUAUCAAUAAAAAUUAAAAAAAAAAUGCUUUUAGAAAAAUCCAAAAAAAAAAUGUUUUUAAUAGAAUUUGAAAAUUUGUUUUUAAUAAUAAUUGUCCAAAAAUUUCCGUGUUUAAUAAUAACUGUCAAAAAUUUGUUUUGUAAAUAAAGUUGUCCCAAAAAUUAAUUUUUAAUUAAAAAUUCUUUUGCUAAUAAAGUUAUAUUUUUUUAAUAAAUUGUAUAUGCCACUUUUCUUGAAUGACAACAAAUUGAAAUACUUUUGUAAACAAAAUAGUAAAAAUUCAUUCAAUUUUCGUAAAAGAAAGUAAAAGCAAUUUUUGUGCCUAAAUUGAAAUUUUGUAAUAAAUUCUUUGUUACAAUAAGUGUAAAUAACUUUCUUUUUUUUUUUUUUUUUAAAAAUGAAUACAAAUGAAAUUGAGAAAAUAAAUUGAAACCUUUUUUUUGUAAACAAAUAAUUUGAAAUUGUUUUUAAUAAACUCCUUUGAAAUUUCUUGAAAAAAAAGUAUAUUUCUUUUUAAUCAAUUCAAUAAAUCAAUUUGCAUAAUCCUCUUGUCAUUUAUUUUUUGUAUUCUUGUAAUUAGAUUUCAUUGUUAUUUCUGUGUAUAUUGAUUUUCACCAUGAUUUGUACAUUAAUUAUUUUUCUUGGCAUUCAUAAUUAAUUAAUUAAUUGCCACAAUUCCCUUAAUUCGUUUAGUAGAGGCGGUAUGUAUACAGGCUUAGAGGGGUAUUAUAGUAUUUACUAUAUCUUCCUAAUAAGUAACCUGACCUCGAACCCAAGUUUGGUUUUUCACAUGUCAUAUUUUCCAAAUAAGGAAUCACACUUAGGAUUUCCUUUCUUAUUUUGUUUUCCCUUUAAAAAUAAAACAAAAAUAAGUGGCAACUCCAAGUCUUUUUCUAAAAAAAUAAAUAUUUUUCAAAUAAAAAAGUGAGUUCACCAUCUAGUGGGAGCGUAUGCACAGAAAUGUGGGGUCCACAAUAGAGAUGCUAAAGGAGCGAGCUCUAGAUGGAUCACUCCCAUCCCAACCUCGUCCCGUUUAUUUAUAUUAUUCUCAUCCUUACUCAAAAAUAAAUAAAUAAAUAGGGAUAGGUAGGGUGGGUAUAGGAAAUUCCCAUACCUACCCCAUCUCAUCCUAUUUAUUUUUAUUUUUAAAUUUUUAAAUAUAAUCUAUAAAAAAGAAAUCUUAUAAAUAUCUAUAAUUUUUUUUUUUGAAAAUUAAUAUUUUAUGUAUGUUAAAAAAAUUUCAAAAAUUAAAAAAAAAAAAAUCAACUAAAAUAAUUUUUUAUUUAGAAUUAUACAUAAUCAGGGUGGGGCGAAGUGGGAUAAAGUUGUACCCAAACUCACCCUAAACCCAUCCAGGUUUUCAAAAACUUCACAAACCUGUCCUGAACCCAUUUAUCUUUAUACCAAUCUCUUCCUAUUUGGGGUGAGGCGGGUAGGUAUUCGGGAAAACCUAUCCCAUUGUCAUCCCUACUAUUGGAUCAUGAUGAAAUUAUCAUACAUCUUAUAUUAAAAAGUAAAAGGCACUCUAUAAAAGUAGAGAUACAUGUAGCAUGCACCAUGUAUAAAUCUAAUGUAUAUACAUACAUUAAUGUUAUCCCUAUAACAGUAUCAUGACCUCUGCUUUCUCCAUGUGAAAAUUUUUAAAAUAUCAAGGAUUAUUUAUGGUAUUAGAAGGAUGACUCUUUCCUGCCAUGGUUGCUUGCAAGUAAUGAGAGGGACCGUGACAAAAUUUUCCAUGAAAAGAAGAAAAGAAAACCAUAUGAUCUUGUCCUUCUUGUGAUUUGCUCUACCAUAUUGCCCAACUAGUAAAAAACAAUGUCAUGAGAAUAUGGUCCGUUUGCAAUUAGGCUUGGCCAUGCUUGACUAGCAAAGAGGCAAAUGACAAAAUCUUCUGGGUUUUGCAGUUUGCUGAGUUUAUUUAAAAGAAAAAUGUAAUUUUACAAAUGAAAAUGUAAUUUAUAAGAGGAUACAUAAAUUUGUCUCUCCUCACUCAAUAUGCCCUAGACACAAAGUAGUUUUAGGAUCAUCAUUUUUUUUCUGACUAAAAAAGAAGCUAUUGGCAAACAAUGAUAAGUAUAACCAUUAGCAGUAAAAAGAAGAUUGCUGCAACCUUUAAUCACAGUUACCUAAAAGUCCAUUAAAACUUGCUUGUAUUUUAUACAUGUAUUUUCAUCUUCAUGUCCAUUAAAAGGACAUCUAUUCCUCUAUUUCCAUACAUAAUAUAAUCCAAAUUAUAUGUUUUAAUUAUUUGGGUCAACUUUCCACAUGGUUGGGAACAAAUAACAAAAAAAAAAUAUAAGUCAUCUAUUGACUCUUCUCGCUACCCAACAGCAGAAGCAGACAAUUGGCCCGUAGGUAGUGGGGCAUGAGCUUAACCCAUAGGCUAUGAAAACGAGAUGGCUUUAAAAAACUGCAUGCAGAAAUUGAAAGAAAUGACAUAAUUAUAUAUUUUAUUAAAUAUAUAAUACCGAUCCUAUCUCCAAUAACUUGUCUGUUGGAGUCCAUGAUGCUGGCUUUGAUAUUUUUACAAACUAAAUAAUUUUUAUUUAAAGGGAAUCUUAUUACUAUUUUUAUUUUUAUCAUUUUUCAUGUUAUUCAAAUAUAUGCAAAUCAUUUUCUCUUAUAUUUUUCUCUUUUAUUUAAUUAGCUUGUUUUAGGAACCAAACAUCAUAUUAAAAUUUUAGAAUAAGUUCAUUACAUAAAUAAUUAAAAAAAUAUUUCAUACAAAUGAUGGCUAAUAAUAUAUAGAUAUAUAUAAUUAAAUAUAAACAGUAAAAUAUUAAUAAGAAGCAAAGAAGAUUAAAAAUACUUAUAUUUAUUUUGUGACAUUUUCUAGAACGUACGAAUUCUAAUAAAUGCUUUUGGAAUUUGAUCGAGAGACCAAGAUUUUAAACUUUGAGCGGGUGUAUAUAUAUAUAUAUAUAUAUAGAAGAAAUCUACAUUUGAAUUCUAACCGUGACAUUAAAUAAAAAAGUACAAUACAUUUGUUUUUAGAAAACAUUGGAUAGGGAUGGUACCAUGGUGAGUUUAGGAUGGAUCAUCCACAUCUCAAUCCUGUCUCGUAUAUUUAUAUCUAUUUCAGCUCAUCCCCACCAAAAGUAAAAAAAAAUUAAAGAGGGCAGUAAAUGAGAAAGUAUAAGAUAUUAGUUUUUAGAAAUCAUUGGAUAGGUGUAGACCCAAAAAUUUGUCCCAAUUUUAUUUUUACAUUAAUUUUGAGUCCAAUUUUUUUGUUAGAUUUUAAAUCUCAAUUACAUGUGAUAUUUUUUACUCACUCACCAUUUAAUUCUUAGUUUUUUUUAAUCUUGUAUAUUGUUUUAUUAUUAUUAUUAUUAUUAUUAUUAUUAUUAUUAUUAUUAUUAUUAUGUUUUAUUGUAUAUUAUUAUUUAUUAUUUAUUAUUUAUUUUUCUCUCUCCUCUCUCCUCCACCCGUCCCCAUACCUCCCCCCAUUCCUAACACCAUCGUCCCCAUAUCAUUGUCUCCCAUUUUUUUUUCCUUUUUUUUUAUUUGAUUUCUUCUUUUUCUUCCCCAUUCUUCUUCAUCUUUUUCUUUCCCCCAACACCACACCCACUCUCUCCCCUCUUCCCUCUCCUCUCUUCUCAUUUCUCUUUUUUUCUUUUAGCUUUUUUUUCUUCCCAUUUUUUUUUUUGGUGGUCGGCUCCCCAUCUGCUCUCUUCCUUUUUUUUCUUUUUUUCUUCCCCCUCCGAACUCCCACACACGGCCGACCCCCAUUUUCUCUUCCAUUUUUUUUCUUCUCUCUACAGCCCUUCCCAAACACUACCCCAAUACCCAUUUGUGGUGUCCGUUUCAUCCUCCCCCCUUUUCCCAUUUUCUCAUUACCUUCAUUUUUUUUUCGUUUUUCAAAAAGCCAUCAACCUUCAUUGUCACUGGCAAGCCACUAUCAACCGGCAACCCCUUCCUCUUUUCUCUCAUUCCAUUAUCAUUUUCCUUAAUUUGAUUUUAAUGGUAAUUGUUGUUGGUGAGAUUUGAAUUAUUGAAUUAAUAUGAAAUUUGGGUUUUGUUAAUUAAUAUGGAAUUUGGGUUAAUUUGUUAUCGGAUAAUUAAUAUGAAAUUUGGGCUAAUUUAUUGUUGGUGAAUUAAUUUGAAUUUGUUAAUUUGGGUUAGAUUAGUUGACAAUUUAUAAGGUUGUGCUCAUUUGAAUUAUUUAAUUUGGAUAUGAUAUAAUAUUGUGGUAUAUUUUGGAUGUGGGUUUGCAUGUUAAAUUGAGUCGAUUGUGGUUGUGGAUUUAGGGUUGCAUAUUAAAUUAAGUUUGGAUUAUGAGAUAUUAAAUUUAGACCUAAUGGGAUUUAUUUUAAUUUAUCAUGUUUUGAGUUUGAUUAAUUGAGUUUAUAUUUUGGCUAUUAAUUUAGAAAUGUUAGAUUAUGGUCUAUGACAUGUGAGAUAUUUUUGUUGGAUUAUGUUUGUUAAUUUGAGCCCAUUUUUAAUUAGUGAAAUUUAUUGGACUAAUUUGAAAUUUGAAAUUGGACUAUUUUUGUUUUUGCAUGGGCCCAUUUUGCAAUUUUGUUGGCUGAGUACGAAUUUAUGACACAUGGAAUAUGAAAUUUCAUGGAAGAAAGUGAGACUCGAAAAGCUAUAAGAAGACAUUGGCCUUUUUGUUAGCUUAUUUGGGUACUUAUUUGAUUUCCCACUUAUAUUUGGUUUUAUUUCUAUUGAUUUCUGUAAAUAUUUACUUAUGUAUGUUUACUUGUUCUAUACAAAAUUGAAUAUUGAACAAAUAAAAAAAAAUUUAAAUAAGAGGAAUAAUUCAAUAAAUAUUUUUUAAUAAAAUAAUAAUUUUAAAAUAUUAUUCUUAAUAAAAGAAAGUUUUUUUUUUAUUUAUAAAAAUUCAGAAAAAUGAUUUUAGAAAAAUAAAAAAAAUGUUUUUAAUGGAAUUUGAAAAAUUGUUUUUAAUAAUAAUAGUCCAAAAUUUUCUUUGUUUAAUAAUAAUUGUUGAAAAUUUGCUUUGUAAAUAAAGUUGUUCCAAAAAUUAAUUUUUAAUUAAAAAUUAAUUUCUUGUAGUGCUCGUGAGUAUAGAUAUGUUGCAGACUGAUAAAUUCAAACUACAAGAACAUGGAUGAGUAUAGAAAAGUCAUAGAAAUGCUAUUUAACAUACUUGGAAAACAAGGUUCCAAAUUUAUUUAUAAUUACAAACACCUUCCUAGUAGUUUAUACUUAAUGUCAUCCAGGAACCGAAAAUAAGCACAUCUCCAAGCUCUGUUGAAUACUAAUGGAGCCAAAAUGGCCCAAAAGCCAACCACAAAACCCCAUGGCAUACCCAAAUAGAACCAUUUCAUAUCAAUCCAUCCAUUGUCCUCUUCAUCAUCAUUGCCCGGAAUUGGACCUUUUGGUUUACCAUCUUCACCACAACCAUCAGUCAGUGGAGCUCCACAAAGGUCGGGGUUGGCAAUAAAACUGAAGGGACUAAAGCCAUGGAUUUUUGUGCCUGAUGGAAUUUUGCCAGAGAUUGUUGUAUGACAAAUUUAAAUGGCUCAAAAAUGAUAUAUUUGCCAUACCUUGAGGAAUAACACCAGAAAAUCAAUUGAUGGAGAGAUCAAGAGACUCCAGUGAUGUCAAGGCCCCAAUCUUCACAGGAAUCUUCCUUUGGAGAUGGUUAUUAGACAGGUUCAAGAACAUCAAACCAUGGAGACGUGUGAGUUCUUCUGGGAUCUCGCCAGAUAACUUAUUGCUUGAGAGGUCUAUGCCAGCUAGGAGGCCAAGAGUUUUUUUGAACUCGUACUCUACUCCUUUCAUAACCAGUGUUGCUGAGUCGGUUAGCCCUCAUAAUAUCAUGUUCAUUAUGAAAAGGAAAGGGCGAACUUGAAUUUUUUUUGUUUGAUCAUGCUGCUGAAAUUGCCAAAGCAUCUGGGAAUGGUUCCAGUGAGUUUCCCAAGUCCAAGAUUUGAAGUGAAUCAAGGUGGCAAAGUUCAAGAGGAAUACUUCCAUUGAACUUAUUUGAAUGAAGGAUAAGAACCAUUAGACCCGGUGUAUAUGUAAUCUCAGCAUCCCCUGGUACCAUGUCAAUGAACUUUGCCUUGAAGUUCCCCAUCCAUGCUGGUAUGCUCCCUGUGAAUUCUUUCUCACUAAGGUCUAGAACCACUAGACUAGAGCAAUUUUUCAAUGGAAGUGGAAAGUGUCCGGAGAAACGGUUGUUGAGCAAGUGCAAUGAACCAAGCCAAAUUAGAUAACCCAUGGAGCUAGGUAUAUGUCCCGUCAGAUUAUUAUUUCCCAAUUUUAACAUCGUCAAUUCUCUCUAAUACAUCCAACAAUUGGGAAGUUCUCCUGACAAAAGAUUUCCUGAGAUGUCUAGACUCCAAAAAAUUUACUUCUUUAUCAGUUCUCCGACACAACAUGGGUGAAAGAGAUUCACAGAAUAAAUUAUUGGAGGGGUCUAGUUUUGCUACAUCAGAAGAGAUUUGGGGCAGUGGACCAGUGAAAUUGUUUGAGCCCAGAUAGAUAUCAAAUGAAUGUAAACUUGGAAUAUUUCCAAUGAUUUGGUUGUGAGAUAGAUCUACACUAAGAUAGGAUCCCGUCCAAAACCAAGCUGGGAUGACACUGGAGAUUCCUGCAUAGGGCAAGCUUAGACUUUCCAAAUACUUCUUUGUUUGAAGCCAUGCAGGAAAUUGAGGCCCUAGAAGGCAAGACGCCAAGUCAAUCUUGUGAGUUGAAAAGGAGGAGUCCAGUUGGAGCUGACUUGCAAAGUUAACAGGUUUGAAGGUGCAUCCAAUUCUUCUAAACUUGUUAGAUUGGCAAGGUGCUUUUCAGACAUAAUACCGUUGAUUGAAGAAGUUUUCCCUAAUGUUUAGAUAACUUGAGGAUGGAAUUCUUCCUAAUGAGAUAGGAAUCUGACCAGAAAACAAGUUUCCAUCAAUAGAAAGGUACGAUAAACUUUUUAAUUGGCCAAGUUCACUGGGCAAAUGACCUGAAAGCCGAUUUUUUCCCAAGUCUAAAUGUUCUAACAUUUACAUUCUCCAAGAGUAUUUGGAAAAGAACCUAAAAGUUUAUUUCCUCUCAACCUUAAAAGCUCUAGACCUUUUCCAGGCCUAUCAUAUGACAAAUUUGAAAGUUGUAAACUACAAAGAUUUCCUAGAGAUCUCAGUAUGUCUCCUUCAAGAGCAUUGUAUGAUCGGUCAAGAUAUGUGAUAGAAGUGAGAUUUCCAAUAUCAUUUGGAAGCAUACCAUGAAAAUUGUUAGAUUCAAUAUUGAGGGAUCCAAGAUUGAGCGUUCAAGGUUAGUUAUAUGAUAUAACCAAUCAGGAAUAGGAGAAGCAAAAUUGUUAUUCGAAAGAUCUAGGAAUCUAAGAGAAGUCAUGUUAUGAAGACCUCAUGGAAUUGGACCAUAAAUGUUACUGGAUGCUAGAUUAAGAGUAACAAGAGAAUUAAGAUUCACAAACCAAUCAAAUGAUGAAGAAAUAAAAUAAUUAAUUGUAAGGUCAAGGAUGAUGAAAAUUUGACAUUCGGGAGAGGGUUAACUGUAUGAAGCUCACAAUUAGACAAGUGUUGCACAGAUAAAGAAUGGAACUUAUUCAUUACCUGUAGCCAAUUUGAUGCCUUGCUUAGGUUCACAUUUGUCAUAUCAAGAAACUUUAGGAAGGUAAGACCAGAAAUCCAUUCAAUAUCCUUAGCAUUCAAAGAAUCUUUUCUGUAAUAAUUAGAAUUCCCAAUGUAAAGAUAAUGCAACUUGGAUGAAUUUCCAAGCUGAUGAGGAAUAACACCACCAAAACCUGCACUAGAGAGGUUAAGAUAUCUUAAAGUGGAGAGGGAACCAAAGAAUUCUGGAAUAUUAAGGCUCCCGAAGUCAUUACAGCUCAGGUCUAAGUAUUGAAGAUGCUUUAAGUCCAACAAAUAACUACACAUGAUUAUGAUUGAGGUGAUCAAGAAGCAUGAAAAAUGUAUUUCCAACUCAAGACAAUAUUAAACAUGGAGAGCAUAGGUAGAAAUAAGAAAAAAAGGUAAUUGGCGCAAUAGAUCUAAAUUGAGAAAUGACAUGCUAAAAUCUAGAAAUCCUAGGAAUGUUUAGCAAAACAAGAGUAAGAAAGAAAGUGAGUACUAGAAUUGUGGAAAGUUGAGAAACUAUUAGAAUAAGAGUAAGGCUGCCAAAAAGGAUGGUGUCAAUAAGAUUGAUGCAAAAAGAAUUAGAUGAUGCUCAUAUUUGCUCUUUGAAGAGCAAGACUGAAUCAUGGGUGUAUGAUUCGACUAAUAGUUCCAUGUUACCUCAAGUAGAGAAUUAUUUAUUAACUAUAUCUUAAAUAAAUUAGGGAAAGUGUAUCUAGGUAAUGACUAAGUGUGUGAUGUUAUUGGCAAAGGUGAAGUGCAGAUCAAACAAAAUGGGUUUAUAGGGUUCUUCCAAACUUGAGGAAGAAUCUGAUUUUUAUUGGGCAAUUGACAAAAGAUGGUCAUGUGACAAUAUUUGAAAGUGACACAUGGAAAAAAAAAAAAUCUUAAGGGGAGCUAUAACUACUACCCAUGGUAAGAAGAAUGGUGCUCUUUACAUGGCAACAAAUAGUUGUAGGUCUAUUACAAUUAAAGAAGAUCCAAAUCUGUGGCACCAUAGGUUUAGCCACAUAAGUAGUACGUAAGAGGCUGAAAAUCAUGCGCUUGAAUGGGAAGUUGUUAGGUUUGAAGUCAGUUGACCUUGGCAUGUGUGAAAAUUGAAUAUGUAGGAAAUUGAGAACGUAGCUUCAAGAAAGUUUGAAAAACCCUAAAAGAAGAAAAACUUGAGUUAAUUCAUAUGUACGUUUAGGGACCCCCUUCAAUUUCAUCAAUCGAUGGAAGGUCUUAUUUUGUGACUUUCAUUGAUGAUCAUUCAAAGAAAAUAUGAGUAUACUUUAUAAGGCAUAAAUCAUAAAUGUUUGAUAUAUUUAAGAGGUGGAAAACAAUAGUGGAGAAUAAGACAAUAAUGAGAAUCAAGAAGCUAUGGUCUAAUAAUGGUGGAGAGUAUGAAGACUACGAGUUCAAGAAGUUUUACUAUGAAAAUAGAAUUAAAUUGGAGAAGAUUGUGUUAAGGACACCCUAGCAAAAUGGUAUAGUAGAACGAAUAAGCAUGACACUGAUUGAGAGAUACAAAAACACGUGUAUGUAAGUAAGGUUGCCAAAGCAGUUCUAGCUUGAAGCAAUCAACACAACAACCUACUUGAUGAAUCUAGGAUCAUCAACACUAUUAAGGCAUAAAAUACUAGAAAAUAUAUGGACCGGAAAAAAGGUGAACCUUUCUCAUUUAAAGGCAUUUGACUGUGACUCAUAAGUACAUAUUAUUAAUCAUGGUAGAAACAAACUUGAUGUUAAGUCACUAAAAUGUAUUUUCAUUGGUCAUGGUAUUGAUGAUUUUGGUUAUGAGUUUUGGGAUGAUCAAAAAAGCAACUUUAAGUUGAAGGUCUUAUUUGAGUUGAACCAUGACGAUUAAGACUAUGUUUUAUUACCAAAAAAUAUUAAGAAAAAAAUGUUAAAGAAAACAAUUUUCUAUGUUUGGUUUAUCUUGAAAAAUAUAAAAAUGAUAUCAAAUAUAAUUAAAAUCAAUUAAAAACUUAUAUAUUUUCAAAUUAUUAAAAAUGAGUGCAAUGAGUUUGAAACACACUCGUGCACAUGUAAAUUUUUCAACAACCAAACAUAAUGUAAAAGAAUUUAUUUUAAAAAAAAUAAGAAAAGAAAUUUAAAAGUAAUUAUUGUUUAGUAAAGGAGUUAUAAGAGAUAUAACACAUCAUUGAUCCAAAAUCAUAAGUUGCUUGAAAAAGUUGUUUUCUUGUAAAUAGAUUUGAACAUUCAUAGAAGAGUAGCAUUUUGAUUUCAUCUUAAUUUAAAAAGAAUCCUAUUAUUAUUUGUUCUUAUUUUUGUCAUUUUCCUUGUUAUCCAAAUAUAUGAAAAUAUUAAUUUUUUUAAACAUUUUUCUCUUAUAUUAAAUUAGUACUUUUUAGAAAUGAAAAUAAUAUUAAAGUUUUAGAAUAAAUUUUUUUAUUACAUAAAUAAUAAAAAAAAAUCAUAGAAGUGAUGGCUUACAAUAUAAAUAGGCUUUCCUUGAAUUUAACAGCUCACACUAAUUUCUAAUUAUAAGGACUAAAUAUGAAAUUUUUUUAAUUAUUGACAACGACAAAUGAACUUGAGAGAAACAAAAAUAAAAAUACUUCUAUUAUUUAGUGAAAUUACCAGAAUGAUGAAUUCUAAAAGUUUUUGAAAUUUGAUCAAGACACCAAGAUUUUAAACUUCGGGAUUUUUAAGUUGAACCCGAAGAUAUUAUUUUUAUGAUAACUAACAAAUCUAUAUUUGAAGUCCAAUGACAUUAAAUGAAAAGACAUUGCAUAUAUAUUUUUUAGAAACUACACCAUGAUGAAAUUAUCAUGUGUUAUAUUAAAGCAUAAAAUCACUAUAAAAGUAGUAAUACACAUAACACUAUGUAUGAAUUUAAUGUCUCAUUGAUGUUACACCUAUAACAAUAUCAUGGGUUAUAGCUUUAUCCUAUUUCCGCCAAGCUGCUUAGCCAUAAUACAUUUCCAAGUUGAAUUAUUGUUUAUAGAAGGAUGACUCAAGUCUUUUGCCGAGUUUGACUUCCAAGUAAUGAGAGUGACCAUGAUAGUUUUCCAUGAUAGAAAAGAAAAGAUGACCAUAUAAUAUUGGACAGGCUUUUAUAAUGAAUUAUGAACCAUAUUGUGGUAAGAGUAGAUUGUGGUGGAGGUAUUAUGAUAGGGAAAUAUGAUUGUUCCCAAUCACACUUUUGGAAGGAUAUAAAGUGUCAUUAAUGCCAUAAAAAAAAUCUAUAAGAAGGUACUAUGAAGGAUUGACAAAACACCUAGAAGUAAGAAAAAAUCUUGAAUCCAAGAGACUAUAGAUUCUACUUCUAUUGUUGAUGGAGAGUGAUGAGAAAUGUGAUGUUCUUUCUAUUAUAGUUGAUGAAAAUUUCAUUGACUCUUGAAUUUUAAAUUCUAAAUGGUUUAUAUAUAUAUAUAUAUAUAUAUAUAUAUAUAUAUAUAUAUAUAUAUAUAUAUAUGUUCAUAUACGAAGUGAUUUGAUGCUUGUAGGAAUGUAAUGUUAGUAUUAUUUAAAUGGGCAAUGAUUCAAGGCCUAAAAUCAUUCUUAUUGAUGCAAUAGAAGUGACAAUACUUGAUGAUGUUGUAAGGACAUUGAGUAAUGUCAAACAUGUUGAUAAGUUGAGGAGGAGAUUAUUCUUUUUGGGAGCUUUGGAAACUUUGGGCUAUGAAUUAUUUUUUUUUUUUCAAAUAAUGAUAUUAUAAAUAUCAAUAAAGGUGCUUUGAUAGCUAUGAAAGGGAUCAAAACUCCGUUUUCAACUAAAAGUACUUAUUAUUGACACAAAAAUGGGAGUAAUUUCAAAAUAAAUGAAGUUAUGAAGAAAACAAAGAUGGUUUCUAGAGUCAAGUUCAAUGGGAGUUUGAACUUGACACAUUUAUUCUCAUUAAAUGCAUAGGAUUGAGAGAACUUGAGUCAAGGAGGAGAUUCUUAGUAUUUGACUCAAAUUAUUUAUUUUAAAUUUUUAGGAAGGUCAAUAUUUAUAGAGCUUGUAUUUUAGUAAAUUACUUUCUUUAAGUUUGACUAGAAUUGAUAUAUGUGUGAUGAUGAUAUAUUUCUCUUUCUCUUAUGUGCUUUCCCAUGUUUAUGUUUAUUAGGCUUUGUCAUUUUUGUGACAAAGAGGGGAAAAUCAUUAAAUAUUUUUUUAACUAAAAUAGGGGGAGAUCACUUAAAUAGGGGGAACAUAGGCAUACGUAUAGAGAUAUUUGAGAAAAGAUAAAGAAACUCCUUAAAAAAUUAGGAAAACUAAUAAUUUUUUGAGAAAAGAUUAUUCAAUUCAUUCAUUCAUCUAAUUCUUAAGGGAAAUUAACUGAAAUAUUGGAGGAAAUUAAACUUGAGACAUUAGAAAAAAAACAAAUCAACUAUUAAAAGAAUAACUUAGAAAGUUUAGAGUGUCCAACAUGGAUGUUUCCUGCAAGAUAUUUAUGCUUGAAUUGACUAUCUCUCUGUAACUAUUCUAAGUUUCAAAAUCUUUCUUCCCAUGAACUUCACUGCAUAUAUCAUGUUUGGUGAUAGACCUCUAGGCAUCAUUGUUGAUCUAUUAUGUCUUAUCAAGCUUCUAUUAUAUUUGGUUGAUUUGCAUACAUAUAUAUUUCUCUCAAGCUUUGCUUUAUACCUUGGUGUCAUUAGAGGAAUUUGUUAUUUUUUUCAUGCUUUUACAAGGCAUCGAGCAAAACCUCUAACUAUCGUGUUUUGCAUUCUCGAUGUUAUUUUAUUCCUCACACUGCUUUACUUUUGAUAUGUUUUUUGCUAUGUUUGUAGGUUAUAGGGUUGGAAGGUAAGUACUACAAAGUGAUGCAAAGCAUUCUCUUAAUUUAAUUUUAAUUGAGCAUUAAUGUGUGUUAUGUAAACUCCAUUAUGAGAGUUUGGGUGGGUUCAUGUAACAAUGUUUUGUCACAAAAUUGCCAAAAUGGGAGAUUAUUAAGACAUUGAGUAUUGUUUUUAUGUUAGUAAUUUUGUUAUUUUUUAUAUUUGGUCGUCAUAGAAGUCUUUUUAGAUAGUGACUUACUCUCCAUUGAAAAUCAAGAGUUGUUGAAGUCAUAGGUACGUCUAAAAAGGUUUGGCUUGUGACAAAUUAGGCUUCGUUGAGGUAUUAAGAGGAUGGAUUUUUGGUUUUGAACUUAAAAGGAUUUUAAAAUUAAUUUUUGAAAGAAAGCAGGACUACUCAAGCAAGCCAUACUACUCAAGUGCCCAAGGCAUUUAAGCGGUGGUGAGUUGGCUUGAGUGGUCAUGCUAAUUCUAUUAAGUUUUUCAUGCAAAUUCAAUAAAAAAAACCUUCCAAAAUCAAAACUCUUCGAGCUUUUGCCUAUAAAUGUCUCCCUAUUAACCCCUUGAGGAUUAAAGAUCGAAGAGAGAUCUUUUAAGUGAUUGAAAGGAGAUCACAUGCAUAUUCUCUAGAAAGGGUUUCCUAGAGAGAAAGCCUAAUGUGUCACACCAUUCUUGAUCUCUCAUUUAAGGAUUAGUUCUUUGAAUCUUGGUUGAAAACCUUCAUCAUUUCGGCAAGGCUGAAGUGAUCCAUUAAAGCAAUCGAGGGUUGUUGCAUUGCAAAUAUGAAUUAAGUUGUAGGUACUAGAGAGUAAGUCUUUAGGGUAAAGUGGCCAGGUAAAUUUGUGUAACUUGAUUUUGUUUAAUGGAUUUAGAUUAGUAAGUCUUAGACCUCGUGGGUUUUUAUUUCCACGGUUAGUGUGGAUUUUUUAUAUAAAAAUAUUGUGUCUCAUUGUUUAUAUCUUUUAUGUUUGAUAUUCUAUUUGAAUUACCUAAGAUUGAUAGAAGAGAUCAUCCCUAACAUCUUGUAGGGUAAAAGAAUUGGGUAUAACUUAUAAAUCUUUGUUAAAAAAUUUUAAAUCACUCAUUCACCCCCCUUGGGUUCCCUAUUAGACUUUAUGUUUUUUCAUGAUAUAUGGAAGGUAACUAGUCUAUCAAUUGGAAAGAAGCCUAUAGGUGUUAAAAGGGUUUAUAAGACAAAAUAUAAACUUGAUGGUAAAGUUGAUCGGUUUAGGGCAAGAUUGGUUGCAAAAGGCUAUAAAUAGAAGUUAGGUAUUGAUUAUUUUGAAGUUUUUGCACCAAUUGCUAUACUAGAUACAAUUUGCAUGAUAAUUGCACUUGCAGCUCAAAAGAAGGUGGAAAUUUCACAAAAUGGACUUGAAGUUAGCUUUUCUUAUUGGUGUACUUGAAGAAAAGGUUUUUGUUGAACAACCACUAGGGUAUAUUAAGGAAGGACAAGAGAAAUAGGUUUAUAAACUCAGUAAGGCAUUAUAUGGGUUAAAGUAGGCACCACAUGGUUGGUACAUGCAGAUUGAUACCUAUUUAUUUCGACAUGAAUUUCAAGAGAGUCCUUUUAAGCAUACACUUUAUAUCAAAUAAAAUUCUAAUGGUGAUGUAAUUGUUGUAUGCCUCUAUGUAGAUGAUUUAAUUUUUACAAGAAACUAUUAACAGAUGUUUAAAGAUUUUAGGGAGGCAAUGAAACAAGAGUUUGAGAUGAUAGAUUUGGGAUUAAUGUCCUAUUUUCUUGGAAUUGAAAUCUAACAAAUAGAUAAUGGUAUCUUUAUCUCACAAAAGUCUGCUAUAGACAUUCUAAAGCAAUUUAAGAUGGAAUCAUCAUCAACAAUCCAUACUCAUACUAUAAAGCUACUAGAAAUGAAAAAUGAAAGUACUAGAGAAUUAGUAAGUCUCACAUAUUUCAAGGGCAUAGUAGGAAGUCUUUGUUAUUUAACUUCUACUAAAUCGGAUAUUGUUUAUGAAGUGGGAAUUAUCAAUCAAUUUAUGGAAAAACCAUAUCAAUCACACUUGCAAGUGACAAGGAGAAUUUUGAGGUAUGUAAGUGGCGCUUGUGAUCAUGGAAUUUUCUACUCCUAUUAAAAAAACUCAGUUUAGUGAGCUACAUAGAUAGCAACUAGGGAAUUGAUGUAGAGACUAGAAAGAGUAUUGUUGGGUAUGUUUUCUUAUCUUGGAACAAGAGCAUUCUCAUGGUCAUCAAAGAAUAAACAAGUUGUAGCAUUAUCAACUAUAGAAGUUGAAUACAUGACCAUUACUUCCACAACAUGUCAAGUAGUUUGGCUUUACAAAAGGGUUCUACAAAGAUUUUGUGCAAUAAUAAGUCUACUAUUGCAUUGAUAAAGAAUAUGAUGUUUCAUGGUAGAAGCAAAUAUAUAAGCAUCAAAUUUCAUUAUAUUAGGGAACUUGUGAAAAAUCAAGAGAUCGAACUUAGGUUUUAUAGAUCAAAGAUCAAGUUGCAAAUAUUUUUACAAAGCCACUAAAGACGGAUGUGUUCAAGAAGUCGAAGAUGAUGCUGGAUGUGAUUGACUUUGCUACUCAUAUUAAGGGAGGUUGUUGAAAUUAUAAUCCAAAUUAAAGUCAAAUUAGAAGAAUUUUAGGAAUUAUUAUUUAUUUAAGUUUCUUAUGUUAAUUAGAACUUUUGAUUUAAUAGGAAUUGGAGUCCUAGUACAAAUAUAAUUAGUUUAUUAUAAAUAGGUUUGUUAUUAUAUUGAAAAGAAUAAUGCAAUAAAGUAUUAUUUUAAAAAAAAUAUUAUCAAUACCCAAUAAUUUUUUUGUUGUUGAUGUCUCUACCAACUUUGUUAUUUUGUUUCUAGGGUUUCUCAUUUUUAUUUUUGUUUUGAUAUGGUUAAUUAAUUAUAUACCAUUUUUAAAAACUAUGAUAAAAAUAUUAUUUGUGCUUUUUGUACAAGACCAAAACUACUCAUUUUGCCUUAAAUUUUAGGAUGUGAUUUGGUAUUUGUUAUAGGGAAAAUCAUGUAAUGAUGCAUUAUCUAAAAUAAAUAAAUAACAUAUAUGAGAAGUUUGAUUUUUGAGUUUCAAAGUGCAUACAAUUUGGGGAAAAUAAUCCUCAAAACACGCACUCCAAUAGUUAAAAUCAUCAACAUGCCAAAACUUUCCACUAUCCCUCCUCUCAUCCUCUCGUCAACUACCACAAAUUUUUCUUUGGGAGAAUUGUGUUUUGGGCCCAGCUGGGCCCAAAAAUUAACAAAUGGUCCAUAUAUCUAACAAAAUUAAUAGGAAGGCUAUGAGAUAUUAAUUGACCAAUAUGCCCUUCAUUAUUUCCAAGUCAUCUGGUUGUAAAUUAAAGUGGUUUCAAAGGUGUUAAACUUGAAAUCCAUGUCAUCUGACUGAAAAAUCUCAAAUAAAUGGCAAAAAGGGUCACCACCCUCCUACCCCUUUUUCUCCCUCCGUAAACACCAUGGUCAAAGACGAAGCCAACUACGAAUGUCCCCCAAUCAUGCAGCCGAGGAUUGUGAGCAACUCAGAAAAGCCUUCGCAUGUAUGUGAUCAUCAUCAUUCCCAAAUCAAAAUGAGGGUGGGUGUGAUUAAAUUUUUUGACAUUUUGAUUUCAUCAUGCUGGUUCCUUUGAUGAUGUGGUAGAUGUUUGUUUACAAGGUUUGAGGAAAGACAUUCGUUUUGAUCUCGUGUUGGGGUGUUCUUAAAAAAUUUUAAACUUAAUAACAGCGUGUUUUAGGGUGUAGGGUGGGGUAUAAAUGAGGCUUGAUCAUAUCCAUCUUGCCUCAUACGAAUGAAGCACAAGCUAAGGAAAUGAAAGAAACUUCCAAUUAAUCCGUCAGAAAAGAUCUCCUAAAAAAUGGCAUUUCAGCUGUUCGAAAAUUCCUCACUUUAUAAUCUAGUUGUUGGGUUUGUAUUCUAGAGAAUAAAUGGGUAUGGUGAAAAAGGUGAGUUGUGGGGACUAGUUAGUGCACUUAUGAUGAAUAGGAAACUAAAUUGAGUUUCAUUUUCGCCCUUUUCACUGAGCCAUGACAUUAGGAAGUGGUUAACCGGCCCAUAUGCACUCGUCAAGUUGUACCUAGGUCAAUUUCCUGCAACUGUACAAGGCAUUUACACUAAGUGUACAAGGCCAAUGUACUAAAUGUAUAAGGGCGUACAAGGGAGUGUAUUUUAAGGGUUUUCAAGUGAUUUUGAAGAACUUACUCAUUUUCUUUUUCCAAUCGUCGGGGACAUUCCUCACACAUAUUGGUUGAAUGGUGCCUCAUUGCUUGCAUUUUAUCUGAUGGCUACCAUGUUAAUUCAUUCUAUUAGCUCCCUUACUAAUGAUGCAUAUGAAGCGAAACGAGGCUUAACUUUUUCCUCCUUUUCCCUUAUCCAUGAGAGUGGAAGCAUUGUUUUCCCACCCAUAUGCACUUGUUUGGUAGUCCCUAUUAUGGAUUUCUCCAACUGUACAAGGGAUUUACACUAAGUGUACAAGGCCAAUGUGCUAACUGUACAAGGGUGUACAAGGCUACCUAACUUGAAGGAUUUCAAACGAUUUUCGAAAAAUUCGUUGCUCAUUUCUUUUUUCAAAGGGGGACAUGCCUCGUAUUCCCUCCUGAUUUCCCUUCGUACACAUUCAUUGGAAUGUGCUAGCACACGUAUGAUGAAUGGGAACCUAAAUUGGGUUUCAUUUUCCCCCCUUUCACUGAGCCAUGACAUUGGCAAGUGGCUAUCCCGCCCAUUUACACUCAUUCAGUUGUAGCUAUGUCGGAUUUCUCCAACUGUACAAGGCAUUUACACUAAGUGUACAAGGCCAAUGUGCUAACUGUACAAGGGUGUACAAGGCUACCUAACUUGAAGGAUUUCAAACGAUUUUUGAAAAAUCCUUUGCUCAUUUUUUUUUUUCAAAGGGGGACAUGUCUCAUACUCCCUCCUCAUUUCCCUUCGUACACAUUCAUUGGAAUGUGCUAGCACACGUAUGAUGAAUGGGAACCUAAAUUAGGUUUCAUUUUCCCCCUUUUCACUGAGCCAUGACAUUGGCAAGUGGCUAUCCCGCCCAUUUGCACUCAUUCAGUUGUAGCUAUGUCAAAUUUCUCCAACUGUACAAGGCAUUUACAUUAAGUGUACAAGGCCAAUGUGCUAACUGUAUAAGGGUGUACAAGGCUACCUAACUUGAAGGAUUUCAAACGAUUUUCGAAAAAUUCAUUGCUCAUUUCUUUUUUCAAAGGGGGACAUGCCUCAUACUCCCUCCUCAUUUCCCUUCGUACACAUUCAUUGGAAUGUGUUAGCACACGUAUGAUGAAUGGGAACCUAAAUUGGGUUUCAUUUUCCCCCUUUUCACUGAGCCAUGACAUUGGCGAGUGGUUAUCCCGCCCAUUUACACUCAUUUAGUUGUAGCUAUGUCGGAUUUCUCCAACUCUACAAGGCAUUUACACUAAGUGUACAAGGCCAAUGUGCUAACUGUACAAGGGUGUACAAGGCUACCUAACUUGAAGGAUUUCAAACGAUUUUUGAAAAAUUCUUUGCUCAUUUCUUUAAAGCUAUAUUCUUUCAAAUCUCCCUUCUUUCUAUGUUCAUCCUCCUUACCUUCAAUGUCACAUAAUGUUGCUUACCAUGACAAACUAAUUUUGAGUGACAUAGUAUCUUCUAAAUGCCUUGAUUAUGUGAGUGUUGCAUGUGUGCAUAAAAAAGGGCAAGAAAACAUCCAAGUUAUGACAGUAUGUCAUAUUAAUUUAUUAUGAGUCAUUAAUUCCUACUGUUUCAAGCCACCUUGGAGGAUGCGAGACUGACUUUACCCUCUUUGUUUUGUUCGCUUUCAGAUUGAAUUUUUGGUUCAAAAGACCGAGAACUUUGAUGAGUUGAUGGUUGCUACAGCUGAGGAAAGGGAAUGUGGAGACUACAAGGAACAAAACUGAAUUAACAUGUUUUGAUCAUACUUGUGUUAGGAGUUUUUAAUUAAAUAUAAACAACAAAAAAAAAUCAAUUGAUAUACAUAAUUCAUAAUGUUUUUUGAAUUAUUACCAUUACUUAAGUCUUGACAUAAUGGACAUGUUGAUCAAUUAGUUAUUGUAUUUAUAAUCUUGAAAAUUUAUUCGAAUGCAUUAUAUAACCAUACUAUAACUGGAUAUAAUUGGAAGGACCCGUUCCAUAUACGGUUGCAUAAUUGAAGUAACCCGUAGCCUUUGUGUGAGGGCAGUGAUAACUUUCGAAUGGUGCCUUGUAUUAUCCCAUUCACCGGCCCUGUGUCAGACCCUUCGGACAUGGAUCCAAGACAAAUCACAUUGAAAACUUAAAAAGCCAUGUCAUUUCAACAACCAAUUACUAGUUCAUAAUUUAACCCCAUAUAAUGCAAAACCACAGUCAUAAAAUAUUGACUCUCCAAGAUGCAACCAACUAUGUGAGAGAUAAUGAGUGGGGCAACUCGACCGAUCCACGACUGGAACUCGACCGAUAAUCAACCGGUCAAAUGUAACCGGUCGACCGGUUACCUCUAUGGAUGACCGGUUGUUCAUACCCUCGCCUGUAAUAGCCGAUGAGAUGGAUCGGUUGAAAGCUGAAAGCUGGAGGUUUUACUUUAACUUCAUACAAACUUUUUUAGCACCCACAUAAUUUUUUUUCACAUACUUAUUGUUUUGAUUUUGGAAACAAAUAGUUCAAAAAAUUACAUUUGAAAUUCUAUUUUUUCUUUUAUUUUUAAAUUUUUUAUUUUUAAGGUUUUUUUAUUUUUUUCUAAUAUUCCCAACCCUUUUCCAUGGUUGGAAUAAAUAUAACAAAAUAAAAUAAUGGAAAUUCAUUUCAUUUCCCAUUAAAUACCCCUUUAUAAUUUGUGAAAUAAAUCAAAUUUAGGACUUCUUUGUUGUAUGUCUAUAGCGGGCCAUAAAAAUAAUUUUCCUUUUGAAGUUAUGUCACAUUCUAUACUACUUUUGAAUAAUUUUGAUUAGUAUCAUGUUUGAGUUUUGCAAACAAUGAAAAAAAAAAAACAUCCAUUAUCAAAAAGAUAAAUAAAAAAAAACUACCAACAUCUCAUUAUCACAAUUUUGAUUAUUGUGAUGAUAUCCUAUCAACCUUUGAUCAUCGAUCCUUAUUGGUUAUUAGAUCUUUAGAUCUUUAUAGGUAUUUAAAUAUUGCGAAUAAUUCAAUUUUCCUUACCAUUUUAAACUUAGAAAAUUGCUUUAGAUGUUUUCAAAGCUUUAAUUACUUUUAAGUUAUCAUGACCAUCACACUUCAUGAUUAUCACCAAUGAAGGACACUAACAACUUUCACCACAACAUGACAUAUAGUAAGCCUUAUCCAUUAACAUUGAGAUUAGCAAAUUGUUUGAACUAGGAUUCUUAACAGAAAAUGAGGUUGACCACUUAGAUGCUUAGUUGUCCAUGUUGGAGAUGGGAGUACAAAAUAUUCAAGAUUGAUAAGGAAAUGGAAAGUAUAGUAGUAGUCUCCAGAAAGACUCCUAAAAUUAAAAAAAUCAGAAAAACAAAAAACAGAAAAUCUCAAAGAACUCAAAGACUUGGCUUUUUAAGCUACAACUUUUCAAUCAACCAAAUCCCCCUUUUCGCUAUGAUCCUUUAAGUUUAUUCACAGGGAUUUUCUACAUGGAAGGCAAUUAAGCUACAAACCAUGAGGCAAUGAGACAUUUCAUGUGCCAACCAGCCAGCCAUUCCAGUAGGAAAAGCAAGAAAAAUGGAAAGAGAUAGCCCCCUUUCCUUUUCAAUCUAGAUACAGCAGGGUUACAAUAGUUUAAACAAUAGUUUCCACUGGUUUUACUAACCUCUACUUACAAGAUGAUCAUAUGCAUAUUAUCAGCAUUUGAAAUAAAGGGUUGGAGGAGGUUAACCAUUAACAUUAAUAUUCUAGUUGCCAUUAAUUCAAUUACUAUUUUUUUUUUCCAGCAAAUUCCCAGCACACCUAUAAAAAGUUGACAUUAAUGUUUUCUCCCUAUUUAACCUCAACAGCCAUACCUCAUGAACUCAAAGUGCUAUAUAAUCAUCAUCAGUAUUGGGCCUCAACCAUUUUUUCAACUACACUAGUUCUAUUGGGGAGCAACCAAUUUCACAUCACAAGAGUGUACUUGUUGCAUGUCUUUGAAAUGAAAAUAACGAAUACCAUCCAAUCAAAGGGAAAAAGUACAUAAGGUUCUCUAGUACAUGGCAGUUUAGUAGGUAAGGAUUGUAGGAUUGAGCAGAUAAUGGCACUUUACAUCUGUUUGGGUGCAUAUGGACACAAAAUAAUUUUAGAACUUUUGAAGGCUUGGAGCAUCCAGAAUUUUAAUCAUACAAUUUCAGCACUGAUUUUAAAUUUGAUUAUGAUAAUGUUUAAUGGUGAAGCUACAUUUUAUUGAAACAUAAGAAAACUACCAUGAAAAUGAGAGAUCUUUUCAAAUGGAAAGCAGGGCACCAACAUCAAUACAAAGAAAACAAAUGUGAUGUAAACAAGUAAACGGUACAUAUAAAGGAGAUACAAAAGCUAAAACAUAAUUAUUUUUCCGUAAUUGCUUCUUGUUAGUGCCCCAUUUGCCAAGAAACUGACCUGUAUGUUUCCUAAUCAAGGAAUAAAAGUCAAGCCAUAACCGUCAAUAGAUCAAAUUUUCCAUCAUUUAAUGAAAUAUCCCAGGUACUUUGAAACAAUUUAUGCAUCAUCCAAUUCCAGCUGAAGAUCCAACAAGCCUAUGUUCUUCGCUUCUCUAGACCUUCCAACAAAGGAAUAGUUCUUCAUUCAAGAUUAUCCAAAAUCAGCAGGUUUUGAUAAUGCAAACACUAAGGAUCUGAUUGUUUGGCAAGAUUUUCUUUUGGUCACAUUUUCUUUUGGUCCCUGUUAGGAGUCCUACAAAUGAACAUGGAACCUCCCACAUCCCCAGCCCUACCCCUUGCCACUUGAGUGGGCCUCAAGGGCACUAUGAAUUUGAUUGUGAGUUUAGAUAGAGCACCAACUCCACAAAAUAAGGAAUUUGCAGGGAAUUGCUUUUAUUUGUAUGAAUCAAGUAGCAGGAGAAAGGUCCAAUCAGUUCAAAAGAGGCUCUUAUGGAUGAAAGGACAACACUGAUAACCUAUAAAUUUUGGACCAAUUCUGACAUGGAAAUAAUCACUUCACAUUACCCAAAAUAUCACCAUCCUGAUAAAAUUUGCACUAAAGAAUCCUCAAAUCUGAUAGAACUGAGUACAUAAUACUCAGAUUCCUCUUGUACAUAUAACAUGAAAGAUUAUAUAGCACUACGGAACAUCUUAGACCGUAUGGGGAUGAGGUGGCCAGUCUGUCAAAGUUAUGUUUCAUGUUUCGGUAAUUCAUAAUUGAAAAUUAAAUAUUGAAUACUAAAAAAAGCUUGAACUUUCACUUAUGAGAGCACAAGCUAAAAUUUAUAAUCAUUUGUUGAACUACCUUGUUAAUAGUUGAAUCACUCUUGGAAUCAUUUAAAUUACCCAGUGCAAAUGAAUUCAAAAUGAAAUUAGCAUCAGGAACCUUGGUACGUCUCAAGUGAUUCUCAGCCUGCAACUCUAGCAGUUCAUUGUACUUCGACCUUAAGCGACACAACAACGAUGAAAUGUCCUCAAACUUUUCCUGGAUCUUCUGUAUAACCUUCCUAGGACUGGAAGAAUCUGCCAAGCAACCAAUGAAACCCUCUAAGAAUAAAUUGUCCUUAAACAAAGGCUGUAAAGAAGCAAAUAACUUAAAGAACUCAUUGGGACCUGAGUUUUCCCAUAAGCGCCUCGGCCCAAAUGACCAGUACGAAAUGCGACACUCAACAUUUAAAAAAAAAAAAAAACACUUAACAUAAAAAAAGAAAAACAUGAGAAUUAAACAUAGCAUGUACACAUAUAUCUAAACAGAAUCCUGCUAAGUCUUGCCCCAUUCUACAUAUGUCAAUGAGAGGGGUUUAGGUGGAACCAAAAGUAAAUGUAUAAUUCACAUAAGACAACAGAAAUCAUAUAUAUAUAUAUAGUCAAGUGAAAUAUAGAGGAAACAUAGACAAUUGAAACAAAGAUGGCAAUGAUUUGUAUCUACGUAUGCUAAUCCUAAAUAUCUCUCGCUGCUAUCAAGGCUGAGGAGGUGGUGGUGGAAACACAGAUCGGAGGUAAGCCAUCAUGUCCUCAUGCCGACUCUCUUGGCGAUCAAGCCUCUGGAGGAUAUGCUCAAAUGUAGCCUGCUACUGAUCCAUGCGAUCCUCAAUACUCUGAAAUCUCUUCUGCAUACACUGGAAUUGCUCGGUGAAACCUGUCUGAUAAUGAUCCAUGCGAUCCUCCAUAGAGUAGAAUCACAUAUCGUUGACAACUGCAAGCUCCUCCAUCCGAGUGCCCAGUGAGCUGAUCUGAGCACCUAAAUCCAUCCAAGGCGCCUGACUAGGGUCGUAUGGAGCUUGAUGAGGUGAUGUAUGUGCAUGAGGUGGAUCAGUGAAUGAUGGCUGCGAAGAUGUUCCCGUUGUGUGCACUGCCUCAGACAUCGUCCCCCCUGAUAAAGUCGCCCCCAACUGGCAACCCUCGAACUGCUGUGCAUGGAUAUCAAACUCAGUCUGUGUAUGCUUAUAAUCUCUCUAAGGGGCGACCUCACCCUCCAUCUCCCGAAUCUCCGCCUCCUCCUCAACGGCAGGAUGUGCUACUGGUCGCUUCACUUUCCUAAUCCAUGAUCCAUCGGGGCCUUUCUCAAACUUCAUACGACCCAACAACUAUUCAUCAUAUGUAUCAUAACUACUUUGAGCCUCAAAGUCCUACUCUCUGCUCAAAUCAACCCCCGCAUCCUUGAAUACUCGUGUCAGAAAGUGGCCAUAGGGGAGAACGUGUGUGGAGUUCUCGUAACAUGCAAUCAUGUGCAUCAUCAUCACAUAUCCAACGUCAAUUCGUCUCCCCAUCAUAAUCGAAUCAAUGAGGAAUGCCUCAAGAUAUGAGACCUCAUCUCAGUGGCCGCCUCGUGGCAAGAGAAUGUACAGGAUCAUGUGGUGAAGGAUGCGACAUCUCACUGUCAGGCUAUGUGCCGAUGGUUUGCCCAUCCCCUGCGCAUCAGCAAGGCCAGACAUCCUCUAUAUCGCCUCUCUAGGCUCGAAACCCGCCAGAGUGGGCCAAGCCUUAGACUCAUAUACCUUGAGUCUUACUAGAGCGAUGUCGAAAAUGCGGCAUAUGCUCUCCGGGUCAAGCUUGAUCUGCACACCUCUAACGGUCGAAACAAUCGGCCCUCCAUGUCCAUAUGUCACUCGUGAAUAGAAUGCCCUCACUACUGUCGGAAAUAUCGGCUCUAAAAUAGUCACUAAGGGCAGCCACCCCAUAUGUACGAAUAGUCCCUCAAAGUCGAAAUGCUCUAGUUAGGAGAAAUUAAUAUUUCUCCCUGGAACAACCUUUCUCUAGGCAAACUUCUGUUUGUACCUUUAAUAUUCCUCCAUGGAAGUGAAAAGACCGACGUCAAACCUUGCCUUUCGGCGAGCGUCCGCCUCACCGGGCUGAGAUGGCUCAGCAGGGCGCUUGCCCUGUGCCCUAAAGGCAGCCGUAUCUCUCUUAGGCGCCAUCAGAGAGUCAAACUGAAGGGGACGAGGGUGGUAGAGAAAUAAACGAGCAGAUCAAAGUGAUAACAAACCCAAGCUAAGCGGAUUGGUGUGCAGGAACAGGUGAGAAACCGCCUUUGACGCGCUCUAAAUGAGGAGGCCUUCCAAUACACACGACCGACGUCCCAAAUAUCAGUUCGCACCCUUCAAAACCCACUCCGAAGCCAUGAAAUAGCUACAAUGCCGUUGAAAGUAGGUUUCCCAAGCUGAAUACCCAAAACCCUUGAAGCCUGAGAUUGUCAAAAUGCCGCGCGGGGGGUAUUUCAAAAGAUAACCCCACCAAUAGCUCGACCGAUCCACCAGCGGUUGAUCGCCUCUGUAAGUCACAAGCUGAACAGUCGCUUUGGCUUGGAAAUUGUGAGAGUUGAUUUGUCUAUAGGAAUUCAGAUACUCUAUAACAAUUAAAUGAAAUUGAAUUUAACUUUCAUUUGUAAUUGAUUUGUUUUCAAUUGAAUACCUAUGAGUGGAAACAUAUAUAUAUAUAUAUAUAUAUAUAUAUAUAUAUAUAAGUGAUAAUUAAAAAUUAUAAAUAAAUAAAUAAAUAAUUUAAGAAAAUUUCAUAUUGAGAUAUAAAUUUUUCUAAAAAUGUUGGAAUAGUAGAAGAUAAUUACAUUUUGUAAAUUAAACUAAGAUAAAAUAAAAAAAUUCCGGAAAAAUGUUUUAUUUUAUUUUUUUCUUUUAGGGUUGGCUUAAUGUUUAUUUUCUAUUUUUAAUCUUAUUAUUGAAUAGAAUAAUAUUGAUUUAUUAUUAUAUAUAGAUAUACAUGGUACAAAAUAUAAGUAUUUUUAACCACUAGUAUAACAAAACCAACUAUAAACUAAAGUAUAAAUAUGAAAAUCGUGGGAAAAAAGAAAAUGGAAAAAAGAAAAGAAAAUAGAAACUUGAAUUAUCUUGUGGUCUAUAAUUUUAGUUGGUGGUCAAAAAUUCGAUUCGGACACACCUUGUUAACUCAAAAGAAGUUAGCUGGAAAAGACAUUAUUGACCAAGCAUCAAUAAUUUUCAAUUGCACCCAUUUUUUAAGGAUAUUAUGUUGAAUUCUUAUUUUAUUUAUUUUACUAUAUUUAAUUGAAAAAUGAUACAAUUGGGUGAUGUUUAGAUAUAUUUUUUAUUUUUAUUUUUUAAAAAAUAGAAGGGUCUUAUAAUUCGUAAGAAUUAUUUAUAAUUUUUGUAGGUUAAUUUUGUACUUAAAAACACUUUUAAAUAUCUUUCUAAAUCCAAGCAAGUAAUUUUCACACUUCUUCAAAUUUUUACAAUUUUCAAAAUAGUUUUUAAAAACAUAAGAUAAAUUUUUAUUUUUAUUGAUAUAAAAUAGAUUAUAUUUUAUAAAAAAAAAAUUUAAAAUUGAAAAAUAAUUAAAUUUUUUAAAUUUAUUGUUAUGGUGUUACACUUUAUCACACUUUUCCCAAUAAACUAAGAUGCUUAAAUCAAUUGAACUAGACUAUUCCAUAUGAUUAAAAAAAAAAUCAUAAAUUUUAAUUUUUAAUUUCCUAUAAUUAUAUCAUAAAUCGAAAAAGGUAAGAGGUUAUGUUUUUAUCCUGUGGUGCCUGUUCCCCCCCACCCCCAACUCGCUAGAGAGUGCAACCUUGCUAUAAUUUAUUAAAUUUAAAAAUAAAGGCAAAAUAGCAAAAAAUAAGUAAAUAAAACAAAUUAAAUGUAAUAAAUUAUUUAGCUGAUACUUAAAUAAUUUAAAUAUAUAUCAAAAUUAAAUUAUUUUUAAUUAUAUCUUUUUUUUUACCACAAUUUUAUAUUACAAAACUCAACUUGUGAAAAUGAUUUUGCCUUAUUACAUUUUUUAAAAUUGUAUACUUAUAUAAUUAGUUCUUUAAAUAAUAAAAACAAGUCCAUUAUUAUAGAGAAUAUGUGAUUUGGACAAAUUAGGUCGACCGGAUCACUUCGACCUGUUGACCAUCGGUCGAAGAGCGCUCAUCAUACUCUCUCUCUCCUAGUGGCUGUUUGUGACCGGUCGAGGAAGUCGGUCUCCCGGUCAUGGGCCGGUCGACAACUGGUCAAAUACCGAUCGAGAGAGUUUUUUUUACACUCUCUCUCUCCCAGUGGCUAUUUGUUCUCGGUCGAGGAGGGAGCGUUCUCGGUCGAGUGCUGGUUGAAAACUGGUCGAAAGUGUGUUUUUACACACUCUCUCUCUCCCAGUGGCUGUUUGUUCCCGGUCGAGGAGGGAGCGUUCUCGGUCGAGUGCUGGUUGAAAACUGGUCGAAAGUGUGUUUUUACACACACUCUCUCUCCCAGUGGCUGUUUGUUCUCGGUCGAGGACGCAGGUCUCCCGGUCGUGAUCCGGUCGACAACCGGUCGAAUACCGAUCAAGAGAGUAUUUUUACACUCUCUCUCCCAGUGGCUGCUUGUUCCCGGUCGUGUGCACCCUCUGACCGGACGUGUUCCGGUCGAUAACCGGUCGAAUCCCGAUCGAGUGCAUGUUUCUGCAACACAGGUCGACUGGUUGAUGGUUUAUGAACCAGUCGACCGGGUUCGCUUUCCUGGUCGGGUUUCGGUCGAUCUCCGGUCGACGUACCUAUACCAUAAAAGAGCAAAUUGUGUCCUCUAUGGCCGCUUGAUGUACCAUGCAGACCGGUGAAGGAAUAUGGAGGAUGUGUUCGAAAUAAGAUGUGAUUUAAGUAAAAAAUGUAAACUGAAGUAGCAAUGUUGGAUCCAUGCAAUGACCAAUCAAAGUACGACUCCUAUUCCUACGCAAUUUUGUAUAAUGUAUACAUUUGAAGUAGCAAUCCUAAUUUCAUUUGUGAAUACUUUUGAAGCCAAGGGCUUUUCAACGCUUAACUUGUUUGGUUUAAACAUGAAUCGUACUGUUGUUAACCUUAGCUGUGAAUUCAUCACUAACUUCUAUAUGCAAUACAUUGCAAAUAGUUAGGUUUGAGAAAAUAAUGUACAAUAAAUUGAAAAUAUCCUUGGCACAACCAAUUUAAUAGUGUCCCUCAAUCCACGAGAAAGCGAUGUCGAUGUGCAUUAUGUGAUGAAAGCAACAAUCUCCCCAAUAUCUUUAAUCUAUACUUCUUAAUCUUGCCCUGCAUUCAUUAAUGUUUAAAAGGCAUAUUAGGAAAUGUUAAAUAUUUUGGCCAUGGAAUGCAACUUUGAUAUAAUCACGGUAUAUUAAAAUUGUGUCCGGACAUACCACAUUGAUGGAUUUGGAGAGUCCUCCACUUGACUAGUUGUCCAUGAAUUUCAUAACAAAUACUCCGCAGUCAUUGCUAACACACAAAGUAACGGGUAAUUAUUUAUUAGGCUUGACAUGGCAACGAUAAUAUACAUAAAUUGACUUGCAAUAAAAUUUAAAUCUGGACACGAACUGCAAAGUAAACACUAACUCAUUUGGUUGACUUGGUACAUCUAGCAUGACAAAACGGAACAUAUUCAGGUCUACAUCCACCAUUUGUUUCUUGUAGGCAACAAGCCAUAGAACAACCUUAGCCUUAAAUAGAGAAUGUAGAUGCAUUCAAACUUCCCAUCUUAGGUACAAUGGAAGCAAAAAAUAUUAUGGAACUAACAGCUACUUUACCAAAUUUUGUUGUAUCCCACUCAUACAGCUCCUUUUCCUUCUUGGUCGAGAAUCCAAGAGCUGGAUUCGUUUGUUAUGCAAGUCAUAAACAUAAAGAGUCCAAUGGUUUUUGAGAAGAACCGAUAAGUAGACCUGCAUGAUGCCACUCAGAAUGGAUUACAACAUAUAUUGGGUGAAGGAGAUGACAAGUGUAGAAACCUCGAACAAUGCAUUUAAGCUGACCUCAUUAACAUUAUGAUACGAAACAUCUAAGGGAUACAAAUAUGGCUCAAAACGGCCAAUUACUGCAUCGUGCGUCAAAUGUUUGGCGUUGGAACACAUGACCAUUUCUUGCAUAUGAUAUGAAAAAAGUUUAAGCUUUAAAGGGUAGGGAAACUUCUUGACAUGUUAUAACAACAAAUCAUUGAAUUGUAGUGUCCAUCAAAGCCCUCCGUUACAGCUAUGUAUGGCGAAAGAAAGAGUUUGGUCCUUGAUACAUCGUCGAAUUGCAACAUUCUACAAUACGCAUCCACGACCUAAGACAAGAAGUGAUUAAUAUGUAAGCAAUAUUCAGAACCACUAAUGACAAGAUGGUACAUGAAUAUUAAAUUAAAAAUAUUGCAAAGUAAUGGAGAAAUUGAUAUAUUAACAUGAUUGCCAAUCCAGCUGUCUCCUUGGAAAGAGGUGAGGUUGCCUCUGCUUAAACUCAUGUCAUGCAUUGAAACAAGUUCCUCGUUGUCAACAAAACCAUAAACGUUAGGGUAAUACCAAAUAUGUGGAGGUGAAUACAUUUGAAAGUGGAGUAUUAUAUGCUAUGUCAAACCUCGGGUCCAAGUCCCCAUAAAAAAUAAUUGCAGCUGCUUGUUUGAGGUCUAUCUUGAUGGCAAACUAACGGGUUUGUGGUUGCGCUAUGAAUGGCGACAAUAGAUUGGGAGCCAGCCGACGCACUAUUCGUCGCCUCCCACUCCUAUCAGAUGGAGCCACAACCAUAGAACGCAAAGGCAACUGUUCAAGGACGACUACUUCUUCAUCGGCUAUUAGUUUAAUGAAGAGUAGUAUAAUAUGAGUUAUUAUGUACACAUUUAUGUAGUAAUGAAUGUCCCCCAUACUAUUACCAAUAACUGAUGGAUGCCGAAUUGGUGUGUCAGGUACGUCUUCAGUGCCAUGGGAUGCCAUGUCAUCUCCGCCAUAGUCUGAAUGCGGUUCGGGCUCCGGAAAUUCAUGGGCUGCAUAGCUUGAGUGACUACCGGCAGGCGAAGGUCGACUUCGUUCUUUUCGGCCAUCCAAUGUAUGCAUCAGACCACGCAUGAUGCCAAACUGGUGCUGAAUGCCCUUUUGAUAUUGAUUUAUUGCACGUUCUGCUGCAUAGUAUUUCUCUAGUAGUUCCUGUGACAUGUUAACGAAUAGCUUGCACAUAAAUUACUAUAAAAAUAUUGAAGAAAAUAUUUAUAACCAAUGAUUUAAAACAAUGCAGUCAGUAAACCUAAUUGUAAUGGCAUUCAGACGGAGUUAAUUCAUAAAGUAACAAACAGUAUCCAUACAUGACUACUUGUCGGGCCACUCUCAGACUCCACAUGUGUACGGGGCGGUGACAAAUUAUCAAACCCCUAAAAUUGAUUUCAUGACACAAAUUAAAAACGUAUAAACCUUCAAGGUAUUCAAUUUCCAUGUCAUCAAAUUACAUAACAAAAUGAAUGUAGAGUAAAUGGCUACCUCACCAUGUCCAAAACUACCAAGAUGAUUGAUCUCAGCAGCUAAGCACUCCUUUAUCAACUCAUCUGACCAUGCGAGGAGGAGGGGCACUGUCAUGGGAACAUGAACCAAAAUAAUCUUGAAUUUAAUUACGUAGUGGAGCUGCACAAUGGAAAUAAACAUAUGUGGAUUCGUUACUUGAUGGUAGUGAUGUGAACAAUUUAAAAGUGACCAAGUUAUCAAUGUAAAAGAAGGGCAAUACCUAGAGGAAGAUGAUGCAACCAUGUACCCAAACACUGUUCCGUUGUUUAAAUCGUCUAAUACCUUCAACCAGCUGGUCAACAACAAAUUGGCCCCAGUUGACAUCGUUUUGAAAACCAUCUUCAUGGAUGGUAUGCCAUAAGUUUCGGCAUCCAUCUAUCCUUGACGUUGGCGCCAAUAUCGUCGCACAUGCGUAGUAAAGGAAGCAUCUACGAAACUCCUCCCCUACAGGUAAGUUGAGGAGUCUCUCCUCACAAGUGUUGAGUGUACUGAAUGGAUGCUCAGACGGGGUUGAUGCAAUUUGUAGAAUCCGUCCACUUGUCGGGACGCCAAAUACAAGGCCAACAUCUGCAGUAGUCAGAUCAUAACUUUUGUCGGAUGAUAUGUCUAUGUGUCUGAAGCCAACGUUAAAAUGGUCGAUCAGCCAUAGACAUAUAUUAUGUCGUAUCUCCUUGCAAUUUAAAUUGAGAAGACCUCCAAACUAAAGGUCUCGAACAACUUCCAAUUUAUCAACUGGCAGCCUGUUGCAUAGUUUUAAGAAUCUCAAAUAUGAACAACAUGUGAACAAUCUUGUGGGGUGAUUUAAAAGUGUAGGACAUAAUUAGUAUCUUACACAUGCAUUUUAGUAAUCAACAUAAAAAUAACAAAGACAAUAUGAAUACAUAAACGUGGUGCAAAAAGAAAUACAAUUGAAUGAACUAACAAACAAAAUAAUGUGGAUGAAUAAUUUACAACUGGAUGUUUAUGUGAUAAUGAAUAUGUAAGACCCAUAACAAGUAAUUGUGUUAAGUAGGUUAAAAUAUCAAGUAUCCAAAAUAAGUAAUGAAAAAUAAUAACGAAGAAAUAAUGGAAUACCUCCACAAUGGCCAUUGAAGAAUGAAUUUACUGCUGGAGGUUUGAACCUUAGAAUAACCGGUAACUUCCACAGGGUACUAUAGUAGUUAUCGAUGACCUGGAAAGACUAAUAAUAAAGGGAAAGGUCAUUUCACUAUUCGUACCAUUAAAUCAGUUGGAUAAAUUUUGUAAGGCUAUACCAUAUUCAAACAUGUGAGUGAAGUACUAUGCUAGUGCCAACAGAUCAUAUAAAUUACAAAAUAAUAACUACAAUGCUUACAAUGUGUGAAACAAGUAUAUCUCAUUGAAGACAAAUAGAAAGACAUUUUAAUUAAAUAACAACUUAAAAGAAACCACAUUCAAAUUGCACUUUUAAUUAAGUAGGUUAAGCAAAGCAACUAUAAAUCAUGAAAAUAACAAGAUAGUGCAUCGUGCCUAUAACCAGGCCAGUACAUAGGAACAAAAAACAACAAUACCGUACCAUAUACCCUACAAUAGAAUGUAUGGGAUGAUACAAAGUAUGAGAAUCGUACAAGCGCAAACAAACCACAUGUCACGGCAACGGAUUAUUACAUUUAGAGCGGUUGUGACCUAUGCCAUUGCAUCGAGAGCAAUGAAUUGCUCUCUUAUGAGUAAACUGUGACUCAAUGCAUCUUUGGCGGGGUCUUCCUGGAGGACGUCUGACAUGAGGGGGUUGGAGAGCAGAAAAUAAGUUGCCGGCGCAAUCUUGCAAACUCCCAUCCUCACAAACUUUCGGCAUAUUGUGUGUUGGUAAUGGUUGAAACUGACCAGAGUAAAUCAAAUGUUGGGUGGAGACAUUAAAACAUGGGUCAAUAUAGUCAUACACGUCGUGUUUGAGUGUGCGGAUGACAGCACAUACGUGUGAACAUGGCAAGCCAUACAUUUGCCAUGUCAUGCCAGUACACGUACAUUGAUUAAUAUCGACAACCAAAUAAACCUCCCCGGUAAACACCUUAAACGUCCCCCCUCCCCCCCCAAAUAUGGCAACACACUAAUCGGACCAGACCUCAUGAUAUUUGACAUUAACUUCUCUUCAGUUUUCAGUCCAACCACUCUCUUCCACUUUUGUGUACCACGCAUAUGGGUGUCCAACAUGGCUACAAGCUUAUCCAUGUGCAUUAACAAUAACGUAUAAAUUGUUUGGUGAUGCUCAUCUCUUAACCACGCAUUGAAGGACUCUGGAAUGUUACUUGUCAUUUUAUCCCAUCGUUUUUUUAGAAACUUUGACAUUGCCCAAUGUUCCGGAUUGUUUUCCGCAACCCAUUUACCGAGGUUGUCAUUGAAGAGCACAAGUUUUUCAAAUGCCUCGUUGUAGUUUAUCUCCAACCUAGCAUAUGCAAUGCUGUCUAGAAGUAACAAAGCAUCUUCUUUCCCUUUCUUUCCUCUAAUGUUUUGCUUAUUCAAGAAGCUAGAAAAGUUUUCCUUAACAUGUCGAUAACAAUAUGCAUGAUUUCCUAUCCCGAACAACUCGAAAACACUACGCAAGAUUCCCUGAUGUCUAUCAGAUAUAAUAACAACUUCUUUACCAUCUAAGACCCCCUUUAAUUUCUCCAAAAACCAAUACCAAUCCUCAUAAUUUUCUGAACUGGCCACACCAAGGGCAAGAGGGAACAUUCCAUCAUCUACAUCAUAUGCAAUGGCGGACAAAAGAGCUCCCUUGUAUGGUCCUCUUAGAUGGCAAGAAUCAAUAGCCAAUACUGGUUGACACCCCUUGAUGAACCCUUGAAUUGAAAAUGCAUGGGCAAUGAACAAUUGCAUGAAGUGACCUUCGUCGGAAGUGUAUUCCGCAAUUGUGCCGAGGUUGAUUUCCCUUAGCCUAUGGCAUAUGAUUCAUGCCCAGUUGGUGUGCCAGCUGAUUUGUGUCCAGCUGGUGCUCCUUGAAUGAGGGAGUAAUCAACAAAAUUUAUAACCUAUAACACCAUACACUAGGGUAGCAAAGAAAAAGCUACUAUAGUAUAGCGGCUCUAGGAUCGUUCACUGGGAAAGAUUAACAAGCUAUCAAUGAUACCAAUUCCAAGUGAAUUGGUCUUGUUUCAUUUCAAGGUUAGCUUAAGAAAUAAAACACAAACUUUGAUUGGUAAAGGUUUAGACUUAAACUAACUAACACAACAAGUAUUUGGAAUAACUUAGGAAGAAAAGCAUUCCUUGGAGAGUUAGGUUCACUGGGGUGGUUCCUCAUGCAAAAGACAUAGCUCUGGUCAGAUGGUUCCUUUCCUCGCGUUAGAGAUUCAACAUAUUGUCAAUUCUCUAAUCGGUGUUGUACAGAUUCAUCCUUCAAUUAGAUUUCACUUUAAUUCUCUCACUGAUGCAACUUGCAAUGGUUUAAGCCUCUCACCAAGCCUCAACCAUUCAAGGUGAUCUUUAACCUUGGAUUACCCGUCAAAAUCUCGCAAGAGAUAACUAAUGGAUGUCUCCUUGGAGUCCAAAAGCUUACCAAGUGUUGGCUAUUCUAGAAAAUCCUACCCUAAAGUCACCUCCCAGAGGCUCGUAAGGGGUAAACUAGUGCAUUUCCAUGGUUGGAAAUCACUUGCCUUACCAAGUGUUGGCCCAGGUGACUCUAAGGUGUUUUAAGUUAACUAAAAACAUAGAAAUCACUAAAGGAUUUCACUUCCUCUUCAUUAUUAGCUAAAACCACAAAGCUUUGCAUUCUUGCACUUGGAACCUUCCCCGGCAACCUUAGCUCCAAGGAAUUGGAGGUUUAGUUACUCAUUCUUUGGGGAAAACUCCUCAGAGAGUUCAUAACUUAGUAAUAAAUAAAAAAAUACAAAGUGAGAAGGUAAGGUAAUACAAAGAACUAAACUUUACUUGCUUACCCAAAACUUUACAAAAGGAUCUCCUCUCUGAGAACAGGCUCUCGAGAGGUAUUUAUAUGAACAUAAUAUAAAACUAAUUAUUACAUAAAUAUUUUCUCUUUUUUACUAACUUAAAAGCUAAGCAAUCUUGUAAUUGGUGGCUUACAAGGAGUAUUUUGGGAUUUAGACAACAAAAAUCUAAUGUAAAAUAUCUCCCAAUGUCGGUAGAAAAUAUCGGGAUGCUCCAGGAACCAUUUCGCAAGAGAAAAAUGGUGUCUGCGAGAUUUCGCAGACACUCAAGAGGGCUGCGAAAUAAUUUCGCAACAACAUGCUAUCUUCACAGGGCUGCGAAGUUGGCUUCCACUUUGAGGUUCCCAACUUCCUUCUCGCGGCAUAAAUCGGGCAACGUCAGAAGGAGAUACAUCACACUGUUCAAAAAGGCUGCGAAAUCACUUCGCAACAAAAGGGUGAUUUCGCAGCACUUUGCAAAAUGCUUCCUUCAGCUCGGAGUGAUUGGCUUGCAAUGGCUGUAACUUCUUCGUUUCAACUCCAAAUUGCACACCGUUUGAAGCAUUGGAUUGUUGACUUCCCGAGCUUUGAAAUGGUAUAUAGAAUGCAUCAUUUGGACUUCAUAAAGUGCUCCAAAAGUAGCUGCUACGACUGUCAUCAAGAAUAUGCUUCAUGGCAGAUUCUCUUUGCUUUUUCUCCUUGCAAUCCAGAUUUACUCUUGGCAAAUGACUUCUAAGCUUUGCCCAAGAUUCCUCAUAACUCUCCUCAGUCUUGACUUGCUUUGGUGAUCAAAAUACUAACAAAAACACCAAAACUUACACAAAGUGAUUAAAAUUGCUUUAAAGGAUCCUUAACAUGCCAAUUGAGUUAAAAGGCCUAAACUACUACUCAAAAGUGUUUAAAAUGAUUAAUUAUAGGCUAUCAAAUAGCACUUUUUGAGUAGUAAUCAGCAUAACCAAGGGACAAACGUGUAGGACUCACGUGGAGCUCCAUAUAUGCGCUCUUUUGCCUUCUCUUUAAGGUGCCAUGCUUGGUUAUAUGUCAAUUGAACUCCAUGAUCACGUUCAAAAUCCUUACAAAUUUGAUGGGGAAGAUAGUCUGGAGUGGUUCUAAACACAUCUUCAACAACAACCGCGCCUCUCUUUGAAGAAACCUUGACCUUAGAUGAACACUCAUCCUGAGCUAUAUGAUUAUGAUUCACUUGGUAAGUAUGAACUCGCAAGAUGACAUUUCCCUCUACAGCGUGAGUUGUUAUCUUCCAAGGACAACCCUCAACAGAACACUUUACAGACAUAUGCGUAGGAGAAUUUUUCUUGUACUUGUAUUCAAACCUUCCACCUAAUGACAUCUGGUAAAUUGCGUUGCGAAACUCCUUAGCAUUUUUAAAUGUAUGUCCCGACCCUAAUAUUGCCUCACGAAAUCGAAUCAAUUCCAAAGGGGUGUACUCACUAUCUGCACAAUGCGACACAAAACCUCUUAAUAGAAUCAUAGUAUUAGGAAUUGCAUCGCAUGAUGCAUUAGAGGAAGGAAACGGCGCAGGUGGACCUCUGCAUUUACAUACAUUAACAUAAUUAAACUACGUGAUGCGUAAAAGUGAUAUUCACAAUAUUUUAAAUAGACAUUCAUGUUAACGUCCAUUACCCAAUUGCCAAUUCUAUAUUCGGUAUAUUUGCUUCAAUGGCUUCCACACAGGGUAAGUCUACUAGGUAUACAUUUGCAAAGUCAUCAUUGUGGGAAACCACGUUGUCCAAGUCAUCCUCAUCUUCUAAAUCUUGGAUGACUCUGGGGUUGAACUUGAGGGUGUAGUGCAUCUUCAUCGCAUCAAAGGAGAUGUCGAAUUUCUCUAAGAUUUUUUUGGUGAAUUCUUCAAAUGGCAUUCCUUUAUAUAUGUGAAUACCUUUGCUUCUUCCACCCACGUAUUCCCAUUGCCCAUCAUUUUUUUAGACAAGUUUGCCUCCCACAAAAAUGUAACAAUAUAUCAUAUUAGUUGCGUCCAUCAACCUAUACAAACAUAGCACAAAUUUCAUAUUAUAGAACAAUCAAUUAUGCAUAUUAUAGAAAAUGGGGUUGAUCUUCUCUCCUAUGUGGCCUUUGGCUUUGAAGUUGACAUUAUUAUUAGUCGCCAUGUCAAGUAUAUAAUAAAUCAUUUAUACAUAUACUUUUCUUUUUGUUACUUCACUUAUUAUUAUUAUUUUUUCACUAAUUGGUUGACUCUUUCUCUGUUUUUGCAUACUUCUAUCACCCUCUGGAUCCCAAUGGGAACAUAACAAUUACUUUUGACACUCAUAAAUGUACAUAUGAUGGCUAUGUGGUUAGUGUUUUGAAUCAAUUCAACUGAUUUGUUUCUUUAUUUGCCACUUAUAUUCAUGUUAGCUACAGAUUUCAUGAAGUUGGAAAUUAUAAUCUAUCUACACAUACUAAGUAGCCCAUAAUAUCUCAUACUAUAGGGUCACCAUAACUUGGGUUUUAUCGAAGAAAGUUAACAUACGAACUAUCGUACUUAACUAGAUUGCCACAUGAUGAAGUCAAUAUAAUGCUGAAAGAUUUGAUUUCAACCAACCGAGGAAAAAUAUGUCUGCACUAAUGCAAGGGGAAAAAAAUAGAAAAAAUAUAACCAGUAAACAUAUGUUGCCUUUUGACCUCUUAUUGGGCAAAAACAAGGAGGCGGUGGUUAGAAAAGCAAUCAUACUUAUGAUUUCUCACUAGCGCUUCUAGUCCAAUAGGACUCUUUACUUUUAUCUUUCUUUUAUAGGUAGUCCAAUAUGACUUGUAUAUCAGCAUCAACUGCUUCACAAUUUCUCAUUUUUCUCUCUUUCAGUGGAGCUUGAAGAAGGUGGUUGGGCAGGGAAGGAAGGAGAAGGAACAUAAACCUCUAGUACCCACCGCUCAGUGUCCUCUAUCCAUGGCAAAUGGCUUCCACUCUUUACAAGCUACUGCUCAGGGGUCAUUUUGCCAGCAAAGCGAUAAAUUGGAUCAUCUCCCUUUUUGCUAUAACUACUUGAUUAGCCCCAGUUACACAACUAUGCCAAGCUCCAACUAGUUGGUUUAUUUUGUUUAUCAACAGAGUUGAGAAUAUAAUUGUCAAUACCCAGUUUCUAUAUCCUAUUUUUUUCAGUUUUUAUCAGGUUAAUUGAAUUUGUUGGGUUCUGUCACGUACACAUGCUAGGCUAGUAUAUUUGUGUCUAUAUUGUAGUAGACAAAACUUUUAAAAAAUGUUUUACCUGAUGCUAAGAGAACUUCCUCCUCAAUUCAGACAUCAAUGCUACCUCCACAAAGUCCCACCUAACAUCAAAUAUCCAACAAUGCUCACCACGGAGGGCACCGCCGGUGGGGAUCGAUCAGGGCAUAAUAUAUGGCAAACUGAAAUGGCGAGAUAAAUUAGGGCAAUGUAUUUGGGCUGAAAUCAAAUGGUCCGGAUAGCCGAAAUGAAGCAUAAAAUGAAAUUGAUCAACCUACUAACCUCACCUAUAAACUACUUCGCCACGGAGCCCAAAUCCAGUUGUGAUCGUCGACGCCAAUGGAUCGAUAGAGAUGAAAAACGAGACUGCCUACACCUAAAAUCAGAAGGCUGGGAAACACGAGCUCAAGAGAUAACGAGAUUGGGACUAAGGAUUAGGGCAUUCUUUGGGCGGAAGAGAGGGACGAAGUCGGGAAUGUGAAAACGACUCCAAUUUGGGGAAAACAAAGGGAAAUCCAACAUGGAUUUCAGGUUUUUUUUUUAAAAAAAAUACCCAACAAAGGGCAUUUUCGGUAUAUUAUAAAUGGGAUAUCCUUCUUAUCAAUUUUGAGACUUUGCUUGGGUGGUGGGCUUAAUUUUGUUAGAUAUAUGGACCAUUUGUUAAUUUUUGGGCCUAGCUGGGCCCAAAACACAAUUCUCCCUUUUUCUUUUUUAUUUUCUUUGUUUUACUUUGACAUGACAAGUUGAGAGCUCAUCAUGGUUAAUUUUUGUUUUUCUUAAAUAAAUAAAACAUGUGGCAACCAACCAUGCCACAUGAUUUUUCUUUUUUCUUUUUUUUUUUCUCCUCCAUAAUACCUUCACCUUUUUGCUUUUUUUAAUGUGUUGACUUCAUGAUUUUUUUUUAGUUUCAAUUUUUUCACAAUUUCAGUUUUUCAUAUUUAUUGAUUUUAAUAAUGUAUGAACAUUUUAAACAUAAAAUAAUAAUAUAUAAUAAUUAAUUAAUGAGAACAAAUAAAUAUACAAUGAACAAGUUUAGAGAUUUACGACAUAAGAUUUUCUAUAUUCCUAUUAAAUAAAUAUUUAUUUACUUUAUAAAUCUUAUUACAAUUGUCAUAUUAUUUUAUUGUUUGUAUUUUAAAAAAUUUUAAAUUUUUGUGUGCAAAUCAGAGUCGAUGAUUAUGGUUUUAGUUUUACUUAUGGAUCUAACUUAACUACAGUUUUAACUUUUUUCUUGGUUAAAAUAUUUAACAUUUUUAAUUAAAGAAUAUAAAAACUUAGUUCUAGUUAAAACAUUUUGCGUUAAAAAUUUUAAUUUUUUAUUUACAUAAAAUAAAAAAUGAAAUAUGUUUUUCAUAAAAAAUGUAUUUGAUCAUUUAUAUUAACUUUCUCUUAAUUUUAUUAAAAAAUAUAUUUUUGCAUAUUGAAGUUACGCACUGAUCAACCCUUAAAAGAAGGUACCAUUCUUUUAUGAAAAAGUAACGCCGAAGUGUGUUGAAAAUACCACCGUGGUGGGAAGGAUGUAUCACUAAUAAUGAAGUUACGUACUAAUCAACACAACCCUAAGAAAAAAGGGUACCACUCUUUUAUGAAAAAAGUAAGAGUGAUAUAUCCUUCCUACCACGGUGAUACUUUUAAUAUAUUUUAAUGUUACUUUUUUCAUAAAUGAGUGAUACUUAUUUUUCAAGGUUUGUGACGAUUAAUAACUUUAGUAUGCAAAUUUUAAAAAAAACAAACAAAAUUCAGAGAAAAUUAAUAUAAAUAAUUAAAUAUUUUUUUGUGAAAAAGUUUAUUUCAUUUUUUAUUUUAUAUAAAUAAGAAAUUUAAAAAUUUUAACAAAGCAAAAUAUUAUAAUCACAACCAAUGUUUUAUCUUCUUAAGUUAAAAUUAUUAAAUAUUUUAAUUAAGAAAAAAGUUAAAACCACAAUCAAGUUAUAUUCAUAAAUAAAAAGCUAAAUUUGUUUACUGUGCAUUUAUUUUUAUAUUAAUUUUUUGCUCAUUAAUUAUUAUUAAUCAAGUUAAAAUCAUACCCAAAUAAAUACAAGAGAGGCAAUUUGUAAGCCUAUGGACUAAUUAUAUGAUAGAAUUAAGUUGGAAAUUCCUUGAAGUGUUGCUUUCCUGAUUUUCACACACUUGACUUGUUUUUUUGUUUUCUUUUUUUAAAAAUGACUUUCUACUUUUUAAAAAAUAAAAUAAAAUAAGGUUAAAUUCUUAUAUAAUUUUUUAUUUUUUAUUUGCCUAAUUCAUUGUAAAAAAAUAAUUACAAAAAUAAUUUUAAGGGACCUAAGAUCAAUUUGGAAUGACUUCUAAUUAUACAUUUUUAUUAUUACCAUAUGUCAUGUCUUUGAAGAAAAGAUAGGGUUAUCAUGAAUAAAUUAUUAUUUGAUUAUAAGAUGAUGUUAUUGGGAUCCACACUUUUCCCAUAAUUUUCUAUCACACGGUUACAUAACAAAUGGCAUAAUGCAAAAGUUGGUAUGGAAUACAAUACUAUAAGCUAAUAAUUUGAUUCAUUUAUUUAAGUUACUAAUCUAAAUAUCAUUUAUAUAUAUCUAUAUAUAUAUAUUAGAAAAAUAUUUCUUAAAAAACCAAAGAGAGAGAGAGAGAAAAAAAGGAGCAAAAAGAGGAUCUAUUUCAAUCAUAUUUGGUUUUCCCUUAAUGACAACUUAACUAAUACAUAAUAAAUUUGUUUCUCAUUCAAAUUGCAUAAAAUUCAGAUAAUUUAAUUUGAUUUUAAGAAAAAGUUUAUAUAAAUUAAAAAAAAAUGAAUUUGGUUUUAUUUUAUAUUAUAUAUAUACAUUCUCAUUCUCUUUCUUUUCCAUUUCCUUUGGUGAAACAGUGUCUAGUAAAAAUGCCUCCGACUCGAAGCAAAUGAUGACAUUUUGCUCAAGCUUUGUUUAUGAGGUUUACAGUUUCAUACACUCAACUAUCAUGCAUGCUUUUUCCAAGCUCCUCCACCUUAAUUUAUGUGGACUAUGACGAAAUCUAUGGAAACAAAAGACCAAAAAACAUUGAAAGAAGCCUUGAACGAGCACUCGGUGAAGAUCAAAGAAAAAAAAAGAAAAAAAUUCAUCUUAAGAACCCUGAAGUCCUUGCAGGUACAGGAACCCUUUGACCCUCGUUCCCAAUUUUUACAAGAUCAAGAUAUGUUCUCUCUCAUGCAGUUCAAAAUAUUUACCUACUUGGCCAAUGACCCAAAUUUAUAAUAUUAAAAUGUACCAUUUACGAUCUCUAUGUAUAGUUUAAAUAUUAAUUCAUUGGAAGCCCAAACUGGAAUUUCUGGAGCUAAUCUUGAAGUGGGCCGGCCCAUUUACAUGUGGCCAACCUUUUUGGGCUCGGAUGUUCCGGAGGCGGAAACAUUGUACGCUGAUUUUGAAAUGUAGGUGGAUGAGACUUUGGAAGGGAGAGGCACAUAUGGAGUGGCCGAGUUUGAUUCCAAUAAGGGUGGCUCUUAAUGUUUUGAUGCUGAUUUUGAAAUGUGGAUAAGACUUUGGAAGGGAGAGGCACAUAUGGAGUGGCCGAGUUUGAUUCCAAUAAGGGUGCCUCUUAAUGUUUUGAUGUUGAUUUUGAAAUGUUUUGAGUUGCAAGCGCUGAGCAAUGAGCAGUCAUCAACAACUUCAACACCAUGACUGAAUCGUUUUUGUUUAGCAUUGCAGACAACGUUGUGGGGAAGAUCGGCUCUGUCACUCUCCAAGAAAUUGGCUUAGCAUGGGGCGUCAAGACUGAACUGCAAAAGCUGGAAGCCACCUUAACCGCUAUCAAAUCCGUCCUCCUGGAUGCUGAGGAGAAGCAGUGGAAGGAUCGACAGCUACGUGAUUGGUUGGGAAAGCUCAAGCAUGUGUGCUAUGAUGUGGAAGAUGUGCUCGAUGAAUCAGAGUACCAAGCUUUGCAGCGCCAAGUGGUGAGUCAUGGCAGCCUUAAAACAAAGGUACUUGGCUUCUUUUCAUCUUCAAAUCCGCUUCCAUUUAGCUUUAAAAUGGGCCAUAGGAUCAAGGAGGUGAGGGAGAGGUUGGAUGGCAUUGCAGCAGAUAGGGCUCAAUUCAAUCUACAGACUUGUAUGGAGAGGGCUCCUCUGGUGUACAGGGAGACCACCCACUUUGUGCUUGCUUCCGAUGUUAUCGGAAGAGAUAAGGAUAAAGAAAAAGUUUUAGAGCUUUUGAUGAAUUCAAGUGAUGAUGCUGAGAGUAUUUCAGUCAUUCCCAUAGUUGGUCUUGGAGGUCUUGGAAAGACUACUCUUGCUAAACUAGUGUAUAAUGAUCCGUGGGUAGUUGGGCAUUUUAAGAAAAGAAUAUGGGUUUAUGUCUCCAAUGACUUUGAUAUGAAAAGGGUGAUUAUAGAUAUUAUUAAUUCAAUCAAAACUACUGUGGAAGGGGGGAGUGGUACUGGUUUGUUAAAGUAUAAUGAAUUGAAUCUGGAGCAAUCACAAACUGUUCUUCGUACUACUCUAGGAAAUGAAAAUUUUUUUCUCGUCUUGGAUGAUAUGUGGAAUGAGGAUCGCCAAAAAUGGAUUGAACUCAAAACUUUGUUAAUGAAUGGUGCAAAGGGCAAUAAAAUUGUUGUAACAACGCGGGGUCAUCCAGUGGCUUCGAUCAUGGGCACUGUUCAAGCAUAUAUUUUAGAGGGUCUUCCCCAUGUCGAUUGUCUGUCUGUGUUUCUAAAAUGGGCAUUUAAUGAAGGGCAAGAGAAACAACAUCCAAACCUUGUAAAAAUUGGGGACGGCAUUGUAAAGAAGUGCAAUGAAUUCCUUUGGCGGCAGGACUUUGGGGAGCUACUUUCUCAAAUUUGANNNNNNNNNNNNNNNNNNNNNNNNNNNNNNNNNNNNNNNNNNNNNNNNNNNNNNNNNNNNNNNNNNNNNNNNNNNNNNNNNNNNNNNNNNNNNNNNNNNNAAAUCCGUCCUCCUGGAUGCUGAGGAGAAGCAGUGGAAUGAUCGACAGCUACGUGAUUGGUUGGGAAAGCUCAAGCAUGUGUGCUAUGAUGUGGAAGAUGUGCUCGAUGAAUUUCAGUACCAAGCUUUGCAGCGCCAAGUGGUGAGUCAUGGCAGCCUUAAAACAAAGGUACUUGGCUUCUUUUCAUCUUCAAAUCCGCUUCCAUUUAGCUUUAAAAUGGGCCAUAG
rnacentral:lncRNA from 1 species